ACAAAGAACUGAACAUGAAAUGUUUAUUGCUGCCUCGAAGAAGCUUAACAAAAAAAGUACAAUCGACAAUGGCACCUAAUGGAAAUAGAAUAUCUUAUUCGCUUAAUGUAGCAUUCCUAUGGAAGCACUAACUAGCAUCUAAAGACGUCCUUCAAAUCAUGCAUCAAUAUCACCAUCAUUCCCACCAGAAGACUCUGGUGGUGCAUUGACCCACUCGUCACGUCCCAUGUUAUAUUGGCCUACAUCACUACCAUUAUACCCCAUGUAAGAAUCCAUCCCUAGGAUUUCAUUGUAGUGCACCUGGUCCGAAGGAGCAUCAGCCGAGUUAUCAUAGCCAAGUGAUGCGCGGACGGCGAUAUCAUUGCCACCGAAGUUAGGGAUUGUCUUGUUCUGUGAUGACUCUGUCGUCUUGUACGGACUUGCAUAUUCUUCAAGUUGUGGCUGAGGUUUUGGAGGUAAACCAUGUGCCUGGUCAAGAUCUGGUUGUAGGAGGGAUGCCAAGUGGGGAGUCGAAGGUGGUGGUGUGGACUGAAACAUUUGUGGUACCUGCACAGAAAAAAGGUGGUUCCAUUUUGUGGUAAGGACUUGCAUAAUUCUAAAGGCGUGGAAAAGUGGUGGAGAAAAAUCUUAUACCUGAUGAGGAAUUGGUUUCAUAAGGGACCUCAACUGGAGUGCCAAAGGUGAUGGUGGGGACUGGAGUAUCUGUGGUACCUGCAUAUGAAAAGAUGGUUCCAUAGUGUGUUGUAGUGUUGGUGGUAGUGAAACUGGAGGCAACACUUGAGGUGGAACAUGGUGAGAUGACGUUGAUUGUAGUGAUGCCCGAUGAGUCUUCGAGUGAUCCUGUGAUGGACCUCUUGGCAACAACUGGUUUUGUUGCACAUUUGGACCACCAGUCCUUGGUGCAUGGCCAUGAUGUAGUGGAGGCAUGCGGUGUCUAAUAUGCUCGUUGACUCGCAAGAGGUCAUUGAAGAGCCUCUUGAGAUCUUCUAGACAUAUAUCCUUUUCCCUGGAGAAGAUAUUAUUUGCCGCCAUCCCUGGGUUUUCAGCUUGCAUCUUCUUGAUAUGCUUGAGGGAGAGGUUUGCUCUCUUCUCUAGCAUUGCAUUCUCCAUGUCCAACCUAGCCACCUUGCUUUGCAGCGAUGCAAUCCUAGCUUUUCCCGCCUUGUUGGCGAGUGGAUCGAGAAGUGGAUCUCUUGACAAGAAAGCAUCAAUAAUAGGUUCCACCGAUGGCGUCCCAAAGGCAUGCAUCUUUCCUGAUUCACUCUCCAGGACAACAGCAACCUUCACGCCAGUGAGGGCGGAGAGGUUACUGGCACUUUUAAACAAACCAGCACGUCGUUUGGAGAAGGUGACGCUACGCUGUUUGUCGUCAUCGAUGUGACAAACUCCCACACGGAUCUCCCUCCUCGGCAUACUCAAAAGGAUAACUGGAGGACUUAUUACUACAGAUGGCAAGCUACAAGGAUCUAACAAAAGAUAGAUGUAUAUUUACUAUUGUUGUUGGCUAACUUUAGGUUAGUGGGAGAUAAGUGAGGAUGAGCUCCCCUUAUAUAGAAGGAAAGGCUUGCAAGCAUAAACCUCAUCUUGAGAAAACAUGAAGCUUCUCUAUGUUCUAUGCAAGUCGUUGAUUACAUCCCUAUCCAUACAUUCAAAUUAACUAGGAUCCAAAGUUACAUCCCUUUCUGUUGAGUAGACUCAAAAUUGGCAAGUCAUUAAUUAGCACUAAAUGUGCAUUAACAAAUGCCAAACUUAUGGCCGCCAUUAAUUGUUGCUCAAAUAUAUCUUAUGUGAUUACAUUAAUUUACUUCCUUAUCUAGUGUCAGUAUUAAUUGUUAUGUGAGUUCAUCCACAUCCAAUAAACUUUUUUUAAAUGCAUGCCAUAGUGUCUAUCCAAUUCUUUUGGUUAUUAAUUAUGACUACAUCCAUAGUACGAGUUAGGGAUUUGGUGUAGGCAAUCGUAGCCAUCUAAUCUAAUAUGGCGGUUUGAGAAUUGGGUUAAUAUCUUAAAAUUAUGUCUUAAUAGGCACAAAUACAUUUAGUCUCACAAACAUAUCAAGCAAUUACUAGUUAGGACAUGUCUUUCUAGUAUGCAUAAUUACAAAACAAUACCUAUAAUCUUGUGGGAGGCGGUCUUGUUUGUCUGUAUCUAUAUGAAAUAUUAAUAUAGAAAUUUUGAUUUCAACAUUUUACCUGUUGUGUCAAUUGCAUGAUAGUUGGUAAAACAAAAAUCUUAUGUGUGUUUUGACAACCUUAAGAGUAUAUGUUGUUUUCUUCUAAACAAGAUAAUGGCUUCUAAAUACCAUGGGGUCUAAGAGAGGGUGUGCAUUCCAGAAAUCGAACGACCCAGUGCAACUGGGACAAACUCCACAUCCUAUACAUGUCAGAAUAUUAACUAUGAUACAUAGUGUAGCAUCUUAAUUAUGUGCACUAGGUGCAUUCUAAUGCCAUCCAUCCUCUCCUAGCGAGACCCAUAUCCCCAUUGAAACAACCAAAUGAAAUGUUGGUAUUGGCCAUAGGAGCCACUUCACCAUGGUCCAGAAAGUUGUCUCUCAACAAUAAAUUGUGAUAAAUAGAUAUUUCAUUUUGAUUAUUAACAAACAUAGGAUAAUAAAGUUUACACUAACAAUUUCAUUUUUACAAUUAUUAACAAUGUGCUAUGUUUGAAGUACAAAAUAAAAGGGACUUUGCGAUUUGUGAUAUCUUAUUUUAGGAAACACGACGAGUGUACAUAUAGAGAAGAUGAGCACUUCACAUGUAGUCAUUCCUUAAAAGAGAGUACACAACCUACCGAAGCUUUUUCUUAGGGUUUGGCAAAAUAGGAGGUGACCAACACUUCCCCUCUACCAGCUGAUACAUUUUCAAUGUAUCUAUAAUUUUUUAUUGUUCCAUUCUAUUAUAUUAUCAAUCUUGGAUGAUUUAUAUGCAUUUUUAUACUAUUUUAUAUCAUUUUUGGGAACUAACCUAUUAACCCGGUGCCUAGUGCCCGUUGUUGUUUUCUGCUUGUUUUUUGUUUUCCCGAAAUCGGUACCAAACGGAGUUCAAACGCUAUGAAACUUUUUGACGAUUUUUUUUCUGGACAAGAGAGACCCUAGAAGCUUCGGGAGGAGACUAGAGGACGAACAAGGAGACGGCAAGGCAACAAGGCGCGCCCUAGGGGGUGGCGUCCUAUUGCCUUAUGAGCCCCUUGAGGCUCCGUCUGACCUAAUUCCGCUUCUAUAAAUUCUCAAAUAUUUAGAAAUAAAUAGAGAGCCACCCAAAACACUUUUCCGCUACCGCAAGCUCCUGUUCCUCCACGAUCCCAUCUAGAGGCCUUUUCCAAUACUCUGCCGGAGGGGAAAUCGAUCACGGAGGCCUUCUACAUCAUCCUUGGUGCCUUCCGAUGAUGCGUGAGUAGUUGACCAUAGACGUACGGUUCUAUAUAUAGUAGCUAUUGAUAUCUACUACGCAACUUUAUUCUUGUAGACACGUGUUGGGCCUCCAAGCGCAGAGUUUUGUAGGACAAUAGCAAUUUUCCCUCAAGUGGAUGACCUAAGGUUUAUCAAUUCGUGGGAGGCGUAGGAUGAAGAUGGUCUCUCUCAAACAACCCUACAACCAAAUAAUAAAAAGUCUUUUGUGUCCCUAACACACCUAAUACAAUGGCAAGUUGUAUAGGUGCACUAGUUCGGCGAAGAGAUGGUGAUAAAAGUGUAAUAUGGAUGGUAGAAAUGUAUUUUUAUAAUCUGAAUAAAUAAAAAUAGCAAGGUAGCAAAUAAUAAACGAGUACAAAAACGGUAUUGCAAUGCUUGAAAAUGAGGCCUAGGGUCCGUACUUUCGCUAGUGCAAUCUCUCAUCAGUGCUAAUAUAAUUGGAUCAUAUUAACUUCCCUCAACGUGCAACGAAGAAUCACUCCAAACUUCCUAUCUAGCGAAGAACAUAAGACGGAAUUGUUUGUAGGGUACGAAACCACCUCAAAGCUAUUCUUUCCGAUCAAUCUAUCCUAGAGUUCGUACUAAAUUAACACGAAGUUAUUCUUUCCGAUCGAUCUAACCAAGAGUUCGUAAGAAAAUAACACCAAAGCAAAUUUAGAUUCAUAAUAUUCAAUCCAACACAAAGAACUUCAAAUAGUGCCCCAAGAUUUCUACCGGAGAACAAAGACAAGAACGUGCAUCAACCGCUAUGCAUAGAUUACCCCAAUGUCAUCUCAGGAAUCCGUGAAUUGAGUGCCAAAAUAUAUAUCAAGUGAAUCAAUAUGAUACCCCAUUGUCACCACGAGUAUUUGAUGACCCACAAGUAUAGGGGAUCUAUCGUAGUCCUUUCGAUAAGUAAGAGUGUCGAACCCAACGAGGAGCAGAAGGAAAUGAUAAGAGGUUUUCAGUAAGGUAUUCUCUGCAAGUACUGAAAUAAGUGAUAACAUAUAGUUUUGUGAUGAGAUAAUUUGUAACGAGCAACAAGUAACAAAAGUAAAUAAAGUGCAGCAAGGUGGCCCAAUCCUUUUUGUAGCAAAGGACAAGCCUGGACAAACUCUUAUAUAAGGAAAAGCGCUCCCGAGGACACAUGGGAAUAUCGUCAAGCUAGUUUUCAUCACGUUCAUAUGAUUCGCGUUCGGUACUUUGAUAAUUUGACAUGUGGGUGGACCGGUGCUUGGGUGUUGUUUUUAAUUGAACAAGCAUCCCACUUAUGAUUAACCUCUAUUGCAAGCAUCCGCAACUACAACAAAAGUAUUAAGGUAAACCUAACCAUAGCAUGAAACAUAUGGAUCCAAAUCAGCCCCUUACGAAGCACGCAUAAACUAGGGUUGAAGCUUCUGUCACUCUAGCAACCCAUCAUCUACUUAUUACUUCCCAAUGCCUUCCUCUAGGCCCAAAUAAUGGUGAAGUGCUAUGUAGUCGACGUUCACAUAACACCACUAGAGGCUAGAUAACAUACAUCUCAUCGAAAUAUCGAACGAAUACCAAAUUCACAUGACUACUAAUAGCAAGACUUCUCCCUUGUCCUCAGGAACAAAUGUAACUACUCACAAAGCAUAUUCAUGUUCAUAAUCAAAGGGGUAGUAAUAUGCAUAAAGGAUCUGAACAUAUGAUCUUCCACCAAUUAAACCAGCUAGCAUCAACUACAAGGAGUAAUUAACACUACUAGCAACCUACUAGCACCAAUCCCGGACUUGGAGACAAUAAUUGGAUACAAGAAAUGAACUAGGGUUUUGAGAUGAGAUGGUGCUGAUGAAGAUGUUGAUGGAGAUUGCCCUCUCCCGAUGAGAGGAGCGUUGGUGAUGACGAUGGCGAUGAUUUCCCCCUCCGGGAGGGAAGUUUCCCCGGCAGAACAGCUCUGCCGGAGCCCUAGAUUGGUUCCGCCAAGGUUCCGCCUCGUGGCGGCGGAGUUUCGUCCCGAAAGGUUGCUUCUCGUUUUUUUCUCGAUGAAAGACUUCAUAUAGCAGAAGAUGGUCAUCGGAGAGCCACCAGGGGGCCCACGAGGUAGGGGGGCGCCCUAGGGGGGGGGUGCCCCACCCUCGUGGACAGGGUGUGGGCCCCCUGGUCUUCAUCUUUGGCGAGGAUUUUUCAUUAUUUAUUAUAAGGUAUUCCGUGGAGUUUCAUGACUUUUGGAGUUGUGCAGAAUAGGUCUCUAAUAUUUGCUCCUUUUCCAGCCCAGAAUUCGAGCUGUCGGCAUUCUCCCUCCUUAUGUAAACCUUAUAAAAUAAGAGAGAAUAGCCAUAAGUAUUGUGACAUAAUGUGAAAUAACAGCCCAUAAUGCAAUAAAUAUCGAUAUAAAAGCAUGAUGCAAAAUGGACAUAUCACUAUUCAAUUGCAAGACAUAUACCAAGUGAUCUCAAAUCCAUAAAAGGUUUCAAUCUGAUAACAACGAAAUCUCAAAGGGAAAAACUCAAUUCAUCACAAGAAGACAGAGAGGGGAAAACACCAUAUGAUCCAACUAUAUUAACAAAGCCUGCGAUACAUCAAGAUCGUGACAUCUCAAGAACACGAGAGAGAGAGAGAGAUUAAACACAUAGCUACUAGUAUAAACCCUCAGCCCGGAGGGUGGACUACUCCCUCCUCAUCGUGGUGGCCGCCGGGAUGAUGAACAUGGCCAUCGGUGAUGAUUCCCCCCUCCGACAGGGUGCCGGAACGGGAUCUAGAUUAGUUUUUGGUGGCUACAGAGCCUUGCGGUGGCGGAACUUCUAAUCUAGGUUAACCCCGAGGGUUUCUGAAAUUUUUGGGAAUUUAUAGGUAAAGAGGGGGUGCGGGAGGCCAUCGAGGUGGGCACAACCCACCUGGGCGCGCCUGGGCCCCUAGGCGCGCCCUGGUGGGUUGUUCCCCCCUCGGGGCACCACCCAGGUGCUGCUCUGGCCCAUUGGUGGUCUUCUGGUCCAUAAAAAAUUCACAAAAAGUUUCGCGGUGUUCGGACUCCGUUUGAUAUUGAUUUCUUGCGAUGUAAGAAACAAGCAAAAAACAACAACUGACACUGAGCACUGAGUCAAUAGGUUAGUCCCAAAAAUGAUAUAAAGUUGCUAUAAAAUGAUUGUAAAACAUUCAAGAAUGAUAAAUAACAGCAUGGAUACUUCAUAAAUUAUAGAUACGUUGGAGGCGUAUCAGCUAUAUAGUAGCUAGAUGACUUCUUCUCUUUCUUUUAUCUUUAAUACAAUGUUCUCCUCGGUGUUCUUGAAGUUCCAUUCGAUGUAAUCUUCUUUUGUGGUGUGUUUGUUGGGAUUACAUGAAUUGUGGGUUUAUAAUAUGAAUAUUCAUGAGAAGUAAUUAAGUUUUUUGAAUUUUAUUAUGUGUUAUUGUUAUAGCUUUGUAUUUCUCUCUGAUCUAUCCGUUUAGUUUGGCCAACUAGAUUGAUUUAUCUUCAGUGGGAGAGGUGCUUUGUGAUGGGUUCAAUCUUACGGUGCUUUAUAUCCCAGUGAUAGAUAGGGACAAGACACAUAUUUAUACUGUUGUCAUUAAGGCUAAAACAAUGGGGUUUAUUCAUAUUGAUUGAGUUUACUUUGUCUACAUCAUGUCAUCUUGUUUAAGGUGUUACUCUAUUUUUAUGAACUUACUACCAUAUAUGCAUGCUGGAUAGCGGUCGAUUGGUGGCGUAAUAGUAGUAAAUGCAAGCAGGAGUCGGUUUACUUGUCUCGGACGUGAUGCCUAUAUAUAUGAUCAUUGCCUUGAAUAUCGUCAUAACUAUGCGCUUUUCUAUUAAUUGACCAACAAUAAUUUGUUCACCCAUCGUAUGCUAUGUGCUCGAGAGAGAAGCCUUUAGUGAAAACUAUGACCCCCGGGUCUACUUAUUUAUAUAAAAAAUCCAAAAUACCUUUGCUGUAAUUUUAUUUUAUUUUAUUUAUUUUACAAUUUAUGUAUCUACCACUCUGAGAUUUGGUCCUUGCAAUUAACGAAUUCAAGGGGAUUAACAACCCUCUUGCCCGCGUUGGGUGCAAGUAUUUGCUUUUGUGUAUGCAUGUGUUGUUCGUGAGGCUUUACGUGAUUCUCCUAUUGGUUCGAUAAACCUUAGUUCUCACUGAGAGAAAUAUUUAUGUCUAUAGUACUGCAUCUCCUUUUCUUUUCGAGAAAAAUCCCAACACAACUCAUAAGUAGCUUGAAGAAUCCCAUCACCAGGUGACUGAUGUCGGGCUAGGAGUGGAAGGAGGUACCUUCCACUCCUCCUACCGUGGCUGGGUGCUCGCGACGUGGAUGGUUGGUGGUUUCUAGGGGCGUGGAUGUCGGGGUUGCGGGCUCCAGCUUGGCUUUCAGGCAGGCUCCAUGUGUGGUGGUGGCUCUACCUCUUGGUCGUGUGGGCGGCAAAGGGUGUACUGGCGGGAGGCUCUGCUAUCCUUUGGCAGUGCCUAAGAUCUGGUAUGGAUGGCUUAGCCCUCAUUGCGGUGGUGAUCGGGAUUCCUCCUCGUAGUGUUGCUGAGUUUUCGAGCAAAAACUUUGUGCUAUCCGGCGCCGACAGUGACGGCACCCAUUGGUGCCGCUUGCUUUCUAAAGAUGUUGUCUUGGGUCUCGUUUGUGUGUCGGGCUUCAGGUGAAAACCUCUGUCUGUUUGCUCGAGCUCGGCUCCGACGGCAUCAUGGAACUUAGGUGUUGUCGACGGAUCUUGGCGGGGUGUUAAACUUGUUCUAGGCUCAUGUUUUUAUAGUUUGAUCUGUUAAAAAACAUUAUCACCACAUUAGUGUUGUUUGGUUGCUUUACAUAUAAAGCAGAGCAAAAAAUCUAUUUCGAGUAAAACUAGCGCUUAAGGCAUCUACAGACGAACUUGUCGAAUCCGUCCCCUUAAACGCCCGCUGACGCACUCGGGCGCGUCCGCGGGCAGUGACCGGGCAUGCUUGAAAUUUCAACAGUUGCAUUUGGACAUUUCAUACUAGAUUCUCAAAUCCACACAAAGAUAUGCAAACUAAAAUAAACCUAUGUACUACGUCGAUCACCUAGCUACUCGUCGUUGGAGAUGUUGACGAUCUCCGUGCCCGGCUCCGACAGGAUGGGCGGCAGCUGUAGCUCCGGCUCCUCCGGCUGCUCCGCUCCGGCCUCCUCCACCUCUAUCUCCGCGUCGAGUUCGGUGAAGAGCGUGCCGGACUACGCAUGCCCCUGCCGGAGAACACCCGGUUGGCCUCCAUAUAGGCCUCAUACUGGAUGGACUCCAGGAUGGCCUGCUGCUUCGCCAUCUUGUCGGACUGGGCGACGGCGAACUCCACCUUCGCCUCCUUCGUUUCCGCGUGGACCCCGCCAUCAGACCUACGUGGCGGGCAUGCCCGCACGUCCUCAUAUCCGUCCUAUAUUUGGGCUGGAUACGAGGGGUGCUGGUCAAUCCAGACGUUUGAGACCCGUUUAAGAUGCUCGUCUGAGUCGAAAAACAUGACCGAUUAGUAACCAGACGGACCGUUCGGAUACGUAUGAUGCGGGUUUGAGACGCGCCGAUGCAAAUGCUCUAAUAGCGGACAGUCGACCGGCAAGCGUUCAAGCCGAGGCGUGCAGGUGCAGAACACAACUGCUCAGAUUGCCCUCUUGCGUUAUCCGAUCGAGAGCAAAACAGAAUUUCUCGGGCGCCCUGGAUGCGUGUCAUAGGGUGGGUGAACGCCGCUCACAUUCCCAAUGGCAUUCUUUAGUGGCAGAUACCACUGCCAACCCCAAGAGCAGGCGAUGCUACAAUGGAGUCGAUUAUUCAACAACCAAAUUUCAGUGUCAACUUGGACACUUGGUGCAUAUAAAUUGUACCCGCGGUGACCUGUGCAUGGCCGGAGCGUUGUCCUGAAUGGUUGGGAUCACACGAGCGAUCUCGCCGCCUUUCAAAUUGCGCCUUCAUUCAACGUGACGUGCCCUGGAUAAGCUCAGGCACCGGGUGCCAGGAGGCAGUAGCGUUGGCCAUUCCAGCAUGCGUGCCACGCUAGGCCAGGGUUGCAGUUGCAAAGGAGAUGUAUCUGGUCGGUGUGCGUGUGUGUACUGUUCGGUGGACCUGAGGAAGACGAGUCAGCUUCAUAGUCAUGCGGUCGCCGUGGAAGGAUGCAUGUGAAUGUACUACAAGUUUGACCAUUCUUCCUGCCCUCUGUCAUCUCGAUUACUCUGUUUUCUCCGCUCUUCUUAUUCGAGUUAUUCUUUUUUUCUUUUUGCGUCAAGUAAGCAAGUUUGUACUUCCUUCGUUUCUAAAUAUUUGUUUUUUUAAAGAUUUCAACAAAUGACUACUCCCUCCGUCCGAAAAUACUUGUCAUCAAAAUGGAUGUUCAUCCAUUUUGAUGACAAGUAUUUUCGGACGGAGGAAGUACACAUGAAGCAAAAUGAGUGAAUCUACACUCUAAAAUAUGUCUAUAUACAUCCGUACGUGGUAGUUCAUUUAAAUUCUCUAAAAAAUAAAUAUUUAGCAACAAAGGGAAUAUGAUUUUUGUCGUGGGUGUUGAACAUGAGUGGCGGAUGUGAGGUUACCGGGAUGAGCAGUCAUGUGAGCGGUGGCGCCCGAGUCCAUGUACCAGUCACCGCCGCCACCGUAGGAGCUUGGUGACGGGGCGGAGUGCAGAGCAGCGAGAAGGGCCGGGUCCCACGACGGCGGCACCUGGGGAGGGAGAAACCCUCCGUAGGCCGGCGCGGGAGCGGCGCCGUAGGCGGGAGCGGGUGCGGGCACGGCGCAAUAGCCGCUGUAGGGGGCGGCGUUCUGCGCGGUGAAGAGCGCCUGGUGGCUCGCCGGCCGAGGCCCAAGGAUGCCCAGAGCGGGAGCCCGAGGAACCGGCAUCGAGUACGCGUGUACGACGCCCGUCCAUGGGUUGGUGCCGUAAGUCCAGAGCGGGGUNNNNNNNNNNNNNNNNNNNNNNNNNNNNNNNNNNNNNNNNNNNNNNNNNNNNNNNNNNNNNNNNNNNNNNNNNNNNNNNNNNNNNNNNNNNNNNNNNNNNNNNNNNNNNNNNNNNNNNNNNNNNNNNNNNNNNNNNNNNNNNNNNNNNNNNNNNNNNNNNNNNNNNNNNNNNNNNNNNNNNNNNNNNNNNNNNNNNNNNNNNNNNNNNNNNNNNNNNNNNNNNNNNNNNNNNNNNNNNNNNNNNNNNNNNNNNNNNNNNNNNNNNNNNNNNNNNNNNNNNNNNNNNNNNNNNNNNNNNNNNNNGGGUGGGGCAGGGGGCACUGGCGGGAGGGGGUAAAACCUCGGAGGCGCUGGGGGCGCCGGCUGGUGACGGGGCGCAGGCAUGGUACGGCUCCAACGUAUCUAUAAUUUUUGAUUGCUCCAUCCUAUAUUAUCUACUGUUUUGAAUGUUUAUGGGCUUUAUUAUAUAUUUUUAUAUCAUUUUUUGAGAUUAACCUAUUAACCCAGAGCCCAGUGACAGUUUCUGUUUUUACCCUGUUUUAGAGUUUCAAAGAAAAGUAAAAUCAAACGGAGUCCAAUUGAUCUGAAACUUCACGAAACUCAUUUUUGGAAGGAAAAAAGCCCAGAAGACUUGGAGUGCACGUCGGGGGAUCUGCGAGGAGGUCAUGAGGCAGGGGGCGCGCCCACCCCCUGGGCGCGCCCUCCACCCUCGUGAGCCCCUCGUGGCCCCCCUGAUGUACUUCUUCCACCUAUAUAUAUCUCCAUAUACCCUAAAAACAUCCGAGAUCAUAAUAGAUCGGGAGUUCCGCCGCCAGAAGCCUCCGUAGCCACCGAAAGUCAAUCUAGACCCGUUCCGGCACCCUACCGGAGGAGCAAUCCUUCUCCGGUGGUCAUCUUCAUCAUCCCGGUGCUCUCCAUGACGAGGAAGUAGUUCUCCCUCAGGGCUGAGGGUAUGUACCAGUAGCUAUGUGUUUGAUCUCUCUCUCUCUCUCUCUCUCUCUCUCUCUCUCUCUCGUGUUCUUGAGAUGGUACGAUCUUGAUGUAUCGCGAGCUUUACUAUUAUAUUUGGAUCCUAUGAUUUUUCUCCUCCCCCUCUACUCUCUUGUAAUGAAUUGAGUUUUCCCUUUGAAGUUAUCUUAUCGGAUUGAGUCUUUAGAGAUUUGAGAACACUUGAUGUAUGUCUUGCCGUGCGUAUCUGUGGUGACAAUGGGAUACCACGUGAUUCACUUGAUGUAUGUUUUGGUGAUCAACUUGCGGGUUCCGCCCAUGAACCUAUACAUAGGGGUUGGCACACGUUUUCGUCGUGAUUCUCCGGUAGAACUUUGGGGCACUCUUUGAGGUCCUUUGUGUUGGUUGAAUAGAUGAAUCUGAGAUUGUGUGAUGCAUAUCGUAUAAUCAUAUCCACGGAUACUUGAGGUGACAUUGGAGUAUCUAGGUGACAUUAGGGUUUUGGUUGAUUUGUGUCUUAAGGUGUUAUUCUAGUAUGAACUCUAGGGCUGUUUGUGACACUUAUUGGAAUAGCACAACGGAUUGAUUGGAAAGAAUAACUUUGAGGUGGUUUCGUACCCUACCAUAAUCUCUUCGUUUGUUCUCCGCUAUUAGUAACUUUGGAGUGACUCUUUGUUGCAUGUUGAGGGAUAGUUAUGUGAUCCAAUUAUGUUAUUAUUGUUGAGAGGACUUGCACUAGCGAAAGUAUGAACCCUAGGCCUUAUUUCCACACAUUGCAAUAUCGUUUACGCUCACUUUUAUCACUUGCUACCUUGCUGUUUUUAUAAUUUCAGUUUACAAAUACCUUUAUCUACUAUCCAUAUACCACUUGUUUCACCAUGUCUUCGCCGAACUAGUGCACCUAUACAAUUUACCGUUGUAUUGGGUGUGUUGGGGACACAAGAGACUCUUUGUUAUUUGGUUGCAGGGUUGCUUGAGAAAGACCAUCUUCAUCCUACGCUUCCUACGGAUUGAUAAACCUUAGGUCAUCCACUUGAGGGAAAUUUGCUACUGUCCUACAAACCUCUGCACUUGGAGGCCCAACAAUGUCUACAAGAAGAAGGUUGUGUAGUAGACAUCAAGCUUUUUUCUGGCGCCAUUGCCGGGGAGGUUAGCGCUUGAAGGUAUAACUUUAGAUCUUGCAAUCGAGUCUUUUAGUUUCUUGUUUUAUCACUAGUUUAGUUUAUAAAAGAAAACUAUAAAAAAUGGAAUUGAGUUUGUCUCAUACGCUUCACCUUUUUAAUAUUUUUCGUGAGUAUGAUAGGAAGGAUAAUUGUGCUCAAGUGCUAGAAGAAGAAAUCUAUAAAAUGUUUGGCACUAAAUCUUUGAAUGAUGAGCAUGAUUGCAAUGUUGUUAGUACAAAUUCUUUGAAUAUCCAUGAUACUAAUGAUGAUUGUACUAGUUAUGAUGAAAAUGUCUCCUAUAAACAUGUCAAUUUUUGUGGUGUGCAUUGGGUUUGUAAGUAUACACCAAAUAGGGAAGAUAGAUAUUGCAUGAGGCAUAAGUACUUAGAAACUAAAUUGUUGCAAGAAUGGCUAGAUGAUUGUGCUGAAACUUUAAAUUUUCUUGGCCAUACUUGUGAGCUUUGUAUUGAACGUGGUCAUUUAAUUAUCCGAUGCAAAUUGUUUCAUGAUCUAACCGUGUCCAAAAAUUGUGAUGACUUGAUUUCCCUUGCACAUUAUAAUGAACUUAGUUUGCUUAUGGGCUACGAAGAAAUGAAACGUAUAACUAAGGAUAUUCCAAAAUUUGCCCUUGAUAGAGUUCUUCAUUUUGACUUAGAGGAAAUUUAUAUGUAUUGUGCGGUGAAUUGCAUUGAAAAUCCUUAUAUUGCCAAUUACAUAAAGAAAAGAAAAUAAACAGAAGAUGAAGAGAAUACUAAUGAAUGGGAAGAGACCUCCCAAUAUUCUCCUAUUAUUUCUUAUGAUGAAUCAGGUAACGAGGAGGAGCCUCCUAUUCAACCAAUCUCAUUAAUAAGGAGCUCCAAAAAGAGGAUUGAACCCACACAUGAUGUGGUGAAGAAAAAGAAAAUAAAAAGGAAGAGAGGUAAAAAGAUAUCACUCCCAAAUAAUGUUGCUCCUAUUACUAUUGUGCCUCAUGAAAAUAUAGUUGUGGAAGAUAAUGAUGCUUCUUAUGAUCUUGAAAAUCUUUUUGGCACUUGCUUGGAAGAAUAUGAUAAUUGCUAUACUAUUGGUGCUAUAUAUACUAUUAAUGAUGAGAGUGAUUAUGCUUAUGAUAUGAAAAGGCCCAAGCUUGGGGAUGCUAUGUUUGAUGAAUAUGAUGUUUUUGAGAAUAUAUUUGCUGCAAUUAUGUCUGUCCCAAGCUUGGGGAUGCUACGCUCAAUGAAGAUGAUAUUUUUUGUCCCCCAAGUUUUGAUGAGCAAAUUUAUUAUGAUGAAAGCAUGCCUCCUAUCUAUGAUGAUUAUUGUGAUGAAACGUAUGCUUUAAAGAAUAAUAAUAACAAUGAACCUUGUCAUCUUGAUCUUAAUUUUCAAUCACAUGAUAGUUAUUUUGUUGAGUUUGCUCCCACUAUUAUUCAUGAGAAAAUUUUUGCUUAUGUGAAGAGUAGUAAAUUUUCUACGCUUGUAGAUCAUGAAAACAAUGCUUUAAGUGCUGGUUAUAUUGUUGAAUUCAUUCAUGAUGCUACUGAAAAUUAUUAUGAGGGAGGAAUAUAUGCUUGUAGGAAUUGCAAUAAUAUCAAGUUUCAUCUCUAUGUGCUUAAAAUUUUGAAGUUAUGCUUGUUUUACCUUCCUAUGCAAGUUGAUUAUUGUUCCCAUAAGUUGUUUGAUCACAAAACCCCUAUGCAUAGGAAGUAUGUUAGACUUAAAUGUGCUAGUCAUAUUCUUCAUGAUUCUCUCUUUAUGUUUCAAUUCUUAUCUUUUAUGUGAGCAUCGUUGAAAUCAUCAUGCCUAGCUAAGGGCGUUAAACGAUAGCGCUUGUUGGGAGGCAACCCAAUUUUAUUUUGGUCCCUUGAUUUUUUAUCCUGUUUAGUAAUAAAUAAUUUAUCUAUCCUCUGUUAUGAUUGAGUUUUUAUGUUUUAAUUAGUGUUUGUGCCAAGUAGAACCGUUGGAAAGACUCGGGGAAAGUCUUGUUGAUCAUGCUGUCAAAAACAGAAACUUUAGCGCUCACGAGAAUUGAUGCCAUUUUUAUUUGGAGAGUGAUAUUUAGUUAAUUCUUUUUGGAGAUGAUUAAUAGAUAAAUUCCUCAGGUCCAGAAAUUUAUUUGAGAGUUUUAUGAUUUCCAUAAGUAUACAUUUGAUUCAGAUUACUACAGACUGCUCUGUUUUUGACAGAUUCUGUUUUUCGUGUGUUAUUUGCUUAUUUUGAUGAAUUUAUGAGUAGUAUCGGAGGGUAUGAACCAUAGAUAAGUUGGAAUACAGUAGGUUUAACACAAAUAUAAAUUAAGAAUGAGUUCAUUACAGUACCUUGAAGUGGUGAUUUAUUUUCUUAUACUAACGGAGCUUACGAGUUUUAUGUUAAGUUUUGUGUUGUGAAGUUUUCAAGUUUUGGGUAAGGAUUCGAUGGACUAUGGAAUAAGGAGUGGCAAGAGUCUAAGAUUGGGGAUGCCCAAGGCACCCCAAGGUAAUAUUCAAGGAUAGCCAAGAGCCUAAGCUUGGGGAUGCCCCGGAAGGCAUCCCCUCUUUCGUCUUCGUUCAUCGGUAACUUUACUUGAAGCUAUAUUUUUAUUCACCACAUGAUAUGUGUUUUGCUUGAAGCGUCAUUUUAUUUUAUUUUGUUUUGCUUGCUGUUUGAAUAAAAUAUCAAGAUCUGAAAUUUUUAAAUUUUAGAGAGUCUUCACAUAGUUGCAUAAUUAUUCGACUACUCACUGAUCUUCACUUAUAUCUUUCGGAGUAGUUUGUCAUUUGCUCUAGUGCUUCACUUAUAUCUUUUAGAGCAUGGUGGUAGUUUUAUUUUGAAGAAAUAGAUGAACUCUCAUGCUUCACUUGGAUUAUUUUGAGAGUCUUAAUAGCAUGGUAAUUUUCUUAAAAUCCUAAUAUGCUAGGUAUACAAGAUUAGUAAAAACUUUCAUAUAGAGUAUUGAAUACUAAGAGAAGUUUGAUGCUUGAUGAUUGUUUUGAGAUAUGGAGGUAAUAAUAUCAAAGUCGUGCUAGUUGAUUAGUUGUGAAUUUGAGGAAUAAUUGUGUUGAAGUUUGCAAGUCCCGUAGCAUGCACGUUUGAUAAACGUUGUGUAACAAAUUUGAAACAUGAGGUGUUAUUUGAUUGUCUUCCUUAUGACUGGCGGUCGGGGACGAGCGAUGGUCUUUUCCUACCAAUCUACCCCCCUAGGAGCAUGCGCGUAGUGCCGAGGUUUUUGAUGACUUGUAGAUUUUUGCAAUAAGUAUGUGAGUUCUUUAUGACUAAUGUUGAGUCCAUGGAUUAUACACACUCUCACCCUUCCAUCCUUGCUAGCCUCUUUGGUACCGUGCAUUGCCCUUUCUCACAUUGAGAGUUGGUGCAAACUUCGCCGGUGCAUCCAAACCCCGUGAUAUGAUACGCUCUUUCGCACAUAAACCUCCUUAUAUCUUUCUCAAAACAGCCACCACACCUACCUAUUAUGGCAUUUCCAUAGCCAUUCCGAGAUAUAUUGCCAUGCAACUUUCCAUCAUUUCGUUCAUCAUGACACAUUCAUCAUUGUCAUAUUGCUUAGUAUGAUCAUGUAGUUGAUAUAGUAUUUGUGGCAAAGCCACCGUUCAUAAUUCUUUCAUACAUGUCACUCUUGAUUCAUUGCAUAUCCCGAUACACCGCCGGAGGCAUUCAUAUAGAGUCAUCUUUGUUCUAGUAUCGAGUUGUAAUCAUUGAGUUGUAAAUAAAUAGAAGUGUGAUGAUCAUCAUUAUUAGAGCAUUGUCCCAAGUGAGGAAUAAAAAAAGGCCAUUAAAAAAAGAUAAGGCCCCCCAAAAAAGAGAAAGGCCAUAAAAAGGCCCAAAAAAUGAGAGAAAAAGAGAGAAGGGACAAUGUUACUAUCCUUUUACCACACUUGUGCUUCAAAAUAGCACCAUGAUCUUCAUAGUAGAGAGUCUCUCAUGUUAUCACUUUUAUAUACUUGUGGGAAUUUUUCAUUAUAGAACUUGGCUUGUAUAUUCCAACAAUGGGCCUCCUCAAGUGCCCUAGGUCUUCGUGAGCAAGCAAGUUGGAUGCGCACCCACUAGUUUCUUUUGUUGAGCUUUCAUACAUUUAUAGCUCUAGUGCAUCCGUUAAAUGGUAAUCCCUACUCCUUGCAUUAACAUCAAUCGGUGGGCAUCUCCAUAGCCCAUUGAUUAUCCUCGUUGAUGUGAGACUUUCUCCUUUUUGUCUUCUCCAGAUAACCCCCUCAUUAUUCUAUUCCACCCAUAGUGCUAUAUCCAUGGCUCGCGCUCAUGUAUUGCGUGAAAGUGUAUGAGUUUGAGAUUACUAAAGUAUGAAACAAUUGCUUGGCUUGUCAUCGGGGUUGUGCAUGAUGAGAGUAUUCUUGUGUGACGAAAAUAAACAUGACUAAACUAUAUGAUUUUGUAAGGAUGAACUUUCUUCAGCCAUGUUAUUUUGAGAAGACAUAAUUGCUUAGUUAGUAUGCUUGAAGUAUUAUCAUUUUUAUGUCAAUAUGAACUUUUGUCUUGAAUCUUUCGGAUCUGAAUGUUCAUACCACAAUUAAGAAGAAUUACAUUGAAAUUAUGCCAAGUAGCACUCCGCAUCAAAAAUUCUGUUUUUAUCAUUUACCUACUCGAGGACGAGCAUGAAUUAAGCUUGGGGAUGUUGAUACGUCUCCAACGUAUCUAUAAUUUUUGAUUGCUCCAUGCUAUAUUAUCUACUGUUUUGAAUGUUUAUGGGCUUUAUUAUACACUUUUAGAUUAUUUUUUGGGACUAACCUAUUAACCCAGAGCCCAGUGCCAGUUUCUGUUUUUACCCUGUUUUAGGGUUUCGAAGAAAAGGAAAAUCAAAUGGAGUCCAAUUGACCUGAAACUUCAGGGAACUCAUUUUUGGAAGGAAAGAAGCCCAAAAGACUUGGAGUGCACGUCGGGGGAUCUGCGAGGAGGUCACGAGGCAGGGGGGGCGCCCACCCCCUGGGCGUGCCUUCCACCCUCGUGAGCCCCUCGUGGCCCCCUUGACGUAUUUCUUCCGCCUAUAUAUCUCCAUAUACCCUAAAAACAUCCGAGAUCAUAAUAGAUCGGGAGUUCCGCCGCCAGAAGCCUCCGUAGCCACCGAAAGCCAAUCUAGACCUGUUCCGGCACCCUGCCGGAGGGGCAAUCCUUCUCCGAUGGCCAUCUUCAUCAUCCCGGUGCUCUCCAUGACGAGGAGGGAGUAGUUCUCCCUCAGGGCUGAGGGUAUGUACCAGUAGCUAUGUGUUUGAUCUCUCUCUCUCGUGUUCUUGAGGUGGUACGAUCUUGAUGUAUCACGAGCUUUGCUAUUAUAUUUCGAUCCUAUGAUGUUUCUCCUCCCCCUCUACUCUCUUGUAAUGAAUUAAGUUUUCCCUUUGAAGUUAUCUUAUUGGAUUGAGUCUUUAGAGAUUUGAGAACACUUGAUGUAUGUCUUGCCGUGCGUAUCUGUGGUGACAAUGGGAUACCACAUGAUUCACUUGAUGUAUGUUUUGGUGAUCAACUUGCGGGUUCCGCCCAUGAACCUAUGCAUAGGGGUUGACACACGUUUUCGUCGUGAUUCUCCGGUAGAACUUUGGGCCACUCUUUGAGGUCCUUUGUGUUGGUUGAAUAGAUGAAUCUGAGAUUGUGUGAUGCAUAUCGUAUAAUCAUACCCACGGAUACUUGAGGUGACAUUGGAGUAUCUAGGUGACAUUAGGGUUUUGGUUGAUUUGUGUCUUAAGGUGUUAUUCUAGUACGAACUCUAGGGCUGUCUGUGACACUUAUAGGAAUAGCCCAACGGAUUGAUUGGAAAGAAUAACUUUGAGGUGGUUUCGUACCCUACCAUAAUCUUUUUGUUUGUUCUCAGCUAUUAGUGACUUUGGAGUGACUCUUUGUUGCAUGUUGAGGGAUAGUUAUGUGAUCCAAUUAUGUUAUUAUUGUUGAGAUGACUUGCACUAGCGAAAGUAUGAACCCUAGGUCUUAUUUCCACACAUUGCAAUACCGUUUACGCUCACUUUUAUCACUUUCUACCUGAAGGAAAUAUGCCCUAGAGGCAAUAAUAAAGUUAUUAUUUAUUUCCUUAUAAUCAUGAUAAAUGAUUAUUAUUCGUGCUAGAAUUGUAUUAACCGGAAACAUAAUACAUGUGUGAAUACAUAGACAAACAAAGUGUCACUAGUAUGCCUCUACUUGACUAGCUCGUUAAUCAAAGAUGGUUAUGUUUCCUAACCAUAGACAAAGGAGUUGUUAUUUGAUUAACGGGAUCACAUCAUUAGUUGAAUGAUCUGAUUGACAUGACCCAUUCCAUUAGCUUAGCACCUGAUCGUUUAGUAUGUUGCUAUUGCUUUCUUCAUGACUUAUACAUGUUCCUAUGACUAUGAGAUUAUGCAACUCCCGUUUGCCGGAGGAACACUUUGGGUGCUACCAAACGUCACAACGUAACUGGGUGAUUAUAAAGGAGCAUUACAGGUGUCUCCAAAGGUAGAUGUUGGGUUGGCGUAUUUCGAGAUUAGGAUUUGUCGCUCCGAUUGUCGGAGAGGUAUCUCUGGGCCCUCUCGGUAAUGCACAUCACUUAAGCCUUGCAAGCAUUGCAACUAAAUGAGUUAGUUGCGGGAUGAUGCAUUACAGAACGAGUAAAGAGACUUGCCGGUAACGAGAUUGAACUAGGUAUUGGAAUACCGACGAUCGAAUCUCGGGCAAGUAACAUACCGAUGACAAAGGGAACGACGUAUGUUGUUAUGCGGUCUGACCGAUAAAGAUCUUCGUAGAAUAUGUAGGAGCCAAUAUGGGCAUCCAGGUCCCGCUAUUGGUUAUUGACCGGAGACGUGUCUCGGUCAUGUCUACAUUGUUCUCGAACCCGUAGGGUCCGCACGCUUAAGGUUACGAUGACAGUUAUAUUAUGAGUUUAUGCAUUUUGAUGUACCGAAGGUUGUUCGGAGUCCCGGAUGUGAUCACGGACAUGACGAGGAGUCUCGAAAUGGUCGAGACACAAAGAUUGAUAUAUUGGAAGCCUAUGUUUGGAUAUCGGAAGUGUUCCGGGUGAAAUCGGGAUUUUACCGGAGUACCGGGAAGGUUACCGGAACCCCCCGGGAGCUAAAUGGGACAUGAUGGGCCUUAGUGGAAAAGAGAAGAGGCAGCCCUACAUGGGCUGCGCGCCUCCUCCUUCCCCUAGUCCUAUUAGGACUAGGAGAGGUGGCCGGCCCCCUCUCUUUCUUUUCGCCCUCCGCGAAUCCUAUUCCAACUAGGAUUGGGCGGGGGGGGGGGGGGAAUCCUACUCCCAGAGGGAGUAGGACUCUCCUGGCGCGCCACACCUUGGCCGGCCAGCCUCCCCCCCUCUAGUCCUUUAUAUACUGAGGUAGAGGCACCCUAGAACACAAAAGUUGAUCCACGUGAUCUAUUCCUUAGCCGUGUGCGGUGCCCCCUGCCACCAUAGUCCUCGAUAAUACUAUAGCGGAGUUUAGGCGAAGCCCUGCUGCUGUAGUACAUCAAGAUCGUCACCACGCCGUCGUGCUGACGGAACUCUUCCCCGACACUUUGCUGGAUCGGAGUCCGGGGAUCGUCAUCGAGCUGAACGUGUGCUCGAACUCGGAGGUGCCGUAGUUUCGGUGCUUGAUCGGUUGGAUCGUGAAGACGUACGACUACUUCCUCUACGUUGUGUUAUCGCUUCCGCAGUCGGUCUGUUUGGGUACGUAGACAUCACUCUCCCCUCUCGUUGCUAUGCAUCACAUGAUCUUGCGUGUGCGUAGGAAUUUUUUUGAAAUUACUACGAAACCCAACACUACCUUGCUGUUUUUAUAAUUUCAGUUUACAAAUACCUUUAUCUACUAUCCAUAUACCACUUGUUUCACCAUCUCUUCGCCGAACUAGUGCACCUAUACAAUUUACCGUUGUAUUGGGUGUGUUGGGGACCAAGAGACUCUUUGUUAUUUGGUUGCAGGGUUGCUUGAGAGAGACCAUCUUCAUCCUACGCCUCCUACGGAUUGAUAAACCUUAGGUCAUCCACUUGAGGGAAAUUUGCUACUUUUCUACAAACCUCUGCACUUGGAGGCCCAACAACGUCUACAAGAAGAAGGUUGUGUAGUAGACAUCAAGGCACGGGCGGAGCGGCCAGUGCAGGGGCACCACGCGAGGUGCCGGCGGUGAGGGCGUGGUGCUGCACACGCUUCUUGACCCCCUUCAUCCGGCGCUCCUCCAACCGCAAGUAUGCCACAAACUUGGGGAAGGAGGGCUCCAGCAUGAGGGAGAGGUUGGAGGCGGCGUUACCGAAGUCCUCGUUGAGGCCGGCCGUGAGCGUGCUGAGGAGGAGGUCGUCAUCAACCUUGGCGCCAAUGUCACAGAGCUCAUCCAUCAACGUCUUCAGACGGCGGUAGUAGUCAUCGAUUGACUGAUCAUCCUGAUGACAGUCAAAAAAUUCCUGCUGCAAAAACACACGACGCUGAAGCUUGUUGUCGGUGAAGAGGCCGUUGAGCUUGACCCACACAGCGCGGGCGUCAUCACCAUCGCUCACGACCGUGUGAAACAGGUCCUUCGAGAUGGUGGUGAAGAACCACCGGAUGAGCGUGGCGUCGAUCGCGGUCCACUCGGAGUCGCCCACCAUGGCGCGGGAGUCGACGGAGCCGUCAACGUGAUCCACGAGGUUGUUCUCGCGGAAGAGCAGCGAGAAGUACGUCUUCCACGCGAAGUACGUGGCGUCGGUGGCAUCAAGGACGACGGGGACGCGGUCGUGGAUGUUGAUGUCGCGGAUGUCAGCGGGGUCUGGCUCGGCAAAGGGGUUGUAGGAGGAAGAGCCGGUGGAAGUCAUAGUGAUGCGGGGAAGGGAGCGGAGCGGCGGCUCGGGCGAUCUACACGCGGGCAAGCAACGCCGUAGCGAGCGCUGCUGCGGGCGGCUGCUCGGGCGAUCUACGCGCGGGCAAGCGGCGCGGUAGCGAGCAAUGCAGCGGGUGGCGGCUGGCUCGGGCGAUCUACACGCGGGCGUAGCGUAGCGUGCGGGCUGGCGACGUGGAGGGAUCGGGAUCGGGAGGCUAGCUAGCGGCACGGCGUGGCAUGAAGCGAGCGAGCGGCGCAUCGUCCAAGUGGGAUCGGGGUUGGCGGCUAGCGGGAUGGAUACGGCACGGCGCGACGCGGAACAGGCAGGAGCGGCGCAGGAGAGUGGGUGGGGAGGCGGCGGCGACGGCUAGAGUUAGGCGGAAGCGGAAGAUGAUCGACUUGCAAUAGAUACCAUGUGAAGAAUGAUUUGGUGCAUCGAUAAUAAUUGAUCGUGCAUUGGGCACAUAUAUAUAGGUACAAGGGGUGCGACCGGUGUCUUAUCUCCCAAGAUACAAGUACAUAUAGGGAGAGAGAGACACUACAGUUGCGGCAUACAAAACCUAGACCUACGUACAUGUAUACAUGUUCAACAGUGGGAAAGUAGAUUUUGGAUGACAAGUCGUAAUAUGGAACUACGAAGCCUUUGAUCGGUACUCCCUUGAGUUUCGUUUGUUGUAAGAUUUAGAUCACUGAUCUCUUCAUAACUACUUUCUUCGUCUGAAAAAAUUUGUCUCUUAAAUAAAUGUAUCUAGUAUUAAUCUGAUGCUAGAUACAUCCAUUUAGGAGACAAAUUUAAGACAAAUUUUUUCAGAUGGAGUGAGUACAUCCUAGUAAGUAGGCACUGGCCCUUUAUAACUAGUCCCUCCGUCCUAUCAUGUAAAUGUUUUUACAAGUUAUGUUAGCUCGUAAAAAUAUCUUAUAUUGUGAGAUUGAGGGAGUAAUCUUUUUAAUUUGCACUUUAAACUAGUAAGUAUAUACUUACUGCCUUUUUCUUCUCAAUGUCAGUCUGAAUAUUGUGACGUCUGCCCGUAUUUAUCAUAGCUACAACCCAUUCGGAUAAUCUGAAAAAUUGUGAUUUCUAAAUAUGGUGGUUGUUUCGACUUUCUAACUAUAAAGCCAUGUUCGGUUAAUCCCCUCACCACAGGGAUUGAAGGGGAUUGGAGAGGUUUGAGGGAGAUUUUGACUUGCAAGGGAUUUAAUCCCUUUCAAACCCCUCCAAUCCAUGCCUAACCGAACAAGGCCUAAAUGAGUAAGCGUUCUCCCCUGUGGCGGCUGCAUUUCAAGACGACUGUUAGUACUUGUGCCGCGAGUUUGUGCAUUUCUCCAUUGAGCAGGACGACUGUUAGUAAUUAUGCCAUGAGUUUGUGCAUUUCUCCAUUGAACACUGCCCUGGUGAAGACAAAUAAUGUUUUUUUUUGAAACAAGGCAAAAGACUUGCCAUUUUAUUGAUUAAGAAGAAGAUUUAGACAUAAUCCGUAAAACGACAGAAACAAAGGAAAGACUACUCUCAUGACAUAAGAUUACUCAGGUGGCUCGCUCCAGCCAACGACCAAAGUCGGGCCUCCUCUUUGAUCUUCGCGACAAUGACAGUGGUCGGGGUGGCCGUGUUGCGGAAGACUCUCGCAUUUCGCUCCUUCCAAAUUUCCCACGAGACAAGUAUCAUAACGGAGGCAAUCGCCCUCUUGAUGUGUCCUCCAGAGUUGAUCGUCUUGAGCCACCAAUCCUUGACGGAGAUCUCAUGACGCCAAGCCGUCGUCGAUUGGCCAUGAAUGCCAAGCCAAGCGAUGAUUUCGUUCCAAACUCGGGCACUAUAUCUGCAUUGGAAGAGAAUGUGAGGAGCUGACUCCUGAACCUGCUUGCAAAGGGGGCAGAAGCCGCAAUUCGGCCAUCCCCGCCGUUGCAACCGAUCGGCCCGUCCACACACGAUUUUGGAUGAUCAACCAAGAAAAAAAUUUGCAUUUCGGCGGAGCUCAAGUCUUCCAUAUCGUGGUAGAGGUCGGGCUGAGAACUUGUCCUGCAAACUGCACCAUGUAAGCAGUGGCCGCUGAAUAUUCAUUGGUGGAGGUGAAUUUAAUUUCAAUGUAUGGUGUCCUCCCUAUCCAGGCUGAGAGUAACAUCCUGAAGCAUUCCCCAAAGGUUGGCGAACUCCUGGAUAUGGGCCAAGGAGAGGUCCUGAGUAGCGUCGAUCUGACUGACCCAGAAGUUGUUAUCAAGCGCUUUGCUGACUGAACACGCCUUCCUCUUAGAUAUCUCAAAGAUCUUGGGCGCGGCAUCUUUUGGUCUGAGGCCAUUCAGCCAUGACGAUUCCCAGAAUCUUGCCUUUUUACCAUCACCAAUGGUCACACUCGUGAACGUCGCAAAGAGAUCUCUGUCAGCAUUGCUACAGGGUGUCUCCAUUCCAGCCCAAGUUUUGGGGAGGUCAACCCACUCGAACCAAAGCCAACGUAGUCGAAGGGCGGCGGCAAAAUUUUGGAGGUUUAGCACACCCAAGCCGCCGAAAAUCUUGGGUUUGCAGACAAGGUUCCAGCUAACCUUACAUUUGCCUCCAGACACCUUGUCGCAGCCUGCCCAUAGAUAGGCACGUCUCAGGCUAUCGAUUUUCUUUCGCACCUCAACCGGGAUAUCAAGGGGUGUUAGAUGAUAGAUUGCUAUGGCCGUGAAGACAAACAAUGUUAGCUCAUGAACUUGCUAGUUUGCCUAGAAGUUCCACUCUGUCGAACCGCCCGACAGUACCAUGCCUCUUCUUAUAGAUGAUGCAACUACUACUGAAAGCUAAUAAAGAGGUUUGAUGUCAAAAAUCCAAAAGAAAGAUGGACGCCACAUGUCGAGUCGAUCCAACCAUUGUUUCUCAGUCCUUUAGGUUUUUAAAGCAUCCGUGUUUCUUCACCGAGUAAUUAGUUAAACAGAAAAGGAACCAAUCCGACAGUACUCGGAAAAGCGAACACUUGAUCGGUAGAAACUUAACAAACAUGCUCAUCAAGUUACUGCUUUAUUAGCCUUACAGCUUACACCCAACAGACUCGCAAAAAAUAAUAAAGGAAAAAAGAGAGGGAAAGUCACACAACAGAACAACACCCACACAACUCGAUCAUGGAGUUCAGAACAACACAUGCAGUACAAAAGGACGUGACAAACUGAAACAUUACAGGAACACGCACGCACACACACACGAGUUUAUUAUCUGAAGUUUUGAAAACGCCAGCAGGCGGCACACCAUCUUAAGGCUACGGGAACCACACGGCCAUGCCCACGUCUCAAAACUGUUAGCAGCAGAGGCCAGCUUGCUCUACAUACCGUCCAGGUUGACCUGGGCGCCUGAGCCCCCCGACACCGGGAGAUUCCUGGACCUGAUCUCAACUACUUCCUCGGCCUGGAAUUUCUCCACAAAUGCCAACUUGCUGGGCUUCUGUGCAUCUGCAGAACGGAAAGAAGCGCACACACGUAGCAAAUCAUGAGCAACUAGGAGUACAAGAUAACGCUGACUGCAACAUGAACAAUACUGUUUCCAGAGCGGGGGCGCGUACGUACCCUUGUCGUCGUCGGGGCGGACGGUGUAGCCGGUGACGCGCUGGACGAGGUCGUAGAACACGUCCAGGAGCUGGGAGGCGAAGCUGGCCAUGGGAGCUGGAGCUGGGUAGUUCAGUGAGCUACUCGGACAGUCUAGUUGCUAACGUCUUACUGCUUUCUCUGCUUACUUGCUUUGAGCUGUCUGUGAGUGGUGAGUGAGUCCUAUCGCCAUCGCCGGGGCGAGGUAUUUAUGCACGGCGACGGCGCGGUGUCACCAACCGACCGCGCGCACGCGUUCUUCAGACGAGCGCGUGCGAGCUGGGACGUAGUACGUGCAUUCAGAGCGCAAAGUAUAGUUCAGAUUCCUUUAAGUUAUCGGAUGCAGAGAAUCAGAAUUUUUCGGUUUCUGGCCCGGCCAGCACGUGUAACGAUGUGUAUAAUACGGUUUGUGACUACACAGAUCUCUGGUGCACAUGUGCCCUAUUACUAGCAAGUAGCAACAAUGCCCAGCGUUGCAUCCAAAAAAAAAAAACCAUAACAUAUCUCUAUUCCAAGAAGCAGCUUGUCAAUGGAGGAGGCCAAGGUGGCCGACCGCACAGGACCUCCCAAAAAUUUGGGAACCCCACCAGAUGACCAAGUAUCACUAUAUAUUGUAUUUAAUGUACGUAUGAAAAAAACAUGUACUCCCUUCAUCGGCGAGUAAGCGUAUUUCUAUGUUUUGUCAUAAGUCAAAGUUAUAAAAUUUUGACCAACUAUAUACAAAAGAGUCGUACCAUAUAUGAUAUCAAAUUAGUAUAUUAUGAACGAGAAAUCUAACGACCAGUCGACUGGUCGUUUGCAACAUGCAAGAACGACUGAAUCGCUCCCAAUUCUUCUUUUUUCUUCCGCAAAACUGCCAUCAUAGGCGAGAAAAAAAUUGCUGCGUUUUGGAAUCGAACUGAGGUCUCCAAGAAAAGACCUACAGCAGCCUGCAACCACACCACUACGCAUAUUUUUCUUAGGCAAACGAUAGUCGUCAUACUUAACCCUACAGAGCCACGUCAGCAUAAUUAAGACACCAUUAUUUUGCUCGUUCAUGUGCGUUGAUUCAGGAAAUUAAUUUCAAGCCAUUCGCUUCUUCCAUUUGAUUGUCCGUGCAGCCAUCCCAUUUAAUGCCAACCAUUUUUUUCAACGUCAUCUUUUGAUUCACUCAUCAAGUGCCAAUGUUAGUACUUUUUUUCUCUGUGCAUUUUUAGUGCUACAGUUUCCUUUUCUUUUCUCUGUUGCAUGCACGCACGAUCCGCUCCAGAUCCGAUUUUCUUGCUCUCCUCCCGAUCCAUUUUUUUCCCUCUUCAGAUCUUUUUUCGUUCGAGAUUUUUUCACGCAAAAAUUGGUGUGAACAAGAGAGGAUUCGGUCCUUGCACCACUAGUGAGCCAACUCAACUAGCCUACCACCUGACCUACGAUCCCUUUCUUGAACAAAAGAAAGUAAAUGGGCUAUUUAACAUGUCUCCUGUACUACGUAUGCAUAAAAAUGUGUUAAUUUACUGUUUGAUUUUUUCCGCGCUUAGGUACCCCGUUCCUGCUAACUUUACUGACCCGGGGGGUGGGGGGUGAUGAAAUAUCCUCCUUAACUUUCGUGUGAAUAACAUGGUAACUCAAAUUUUAUAGACCUGAUAACUUAUGUACCCCUGUCCNNNNNNNNNNNNNNNNNNNNNNNNNNNNNNNNNNNNNNNNNNNNNNNNNNNNNNNNNNNNNNNNNNNNNNNNNNNNNNNNNNNNNNNNNNNNNNNNNNNNNNNNNNNNNNNNNNNNNNNNNNNNNNNNNNNNNNNNNNNNNNNNNNNNNNNNNNNNNNNNNNNNNNNNNNNNNNNNNNNNNNNNNNNNNNNNNNNNNNNNNNNNNNNNNNNNNNNNNNNNNNNNNNNNNNNNNNNNNNNNNNNNNNNNNNNNNNNNNNNNNNNNNNNNNNNNNNNNNNNNNNNNNNNNNNNNNNNNNNNNNNNNNNNNNNNNNNNNNNNNNNNNNNNNNNNNNNNNNNNNNNNNNNNNNNNNNNNNNNNNNNNNNNNNNNNNNNNNNNNNNNNNNNNNNNNNNNNNNNNNNNNNNNNNNNNNNNNNNNNNNNNNNNNNNNNNNNNNNNNNNNNNNNNNNNNNNNNNNNNNNNNNNNNNNNNNNNNNNNNNNNNNNNNNNNNNNNNNNNNNNNNNNNNNNNNNNNNNNNNNNNNNNNNNNNNNNNNNNNNNNNNNNNNNNNNNNNNNNNNNNNNNNNNNNNNNNNNNNNNNNNNNNNNNNNNNNNNNNNNNNNNNNNNNNNNNNNNNNNNNNNNNNNNNNNNNNNNNNNNNNNNNNNNNNNNNNNNNNNNNNNNNNNNNNNNNNNNNNNNNNNNNNNNNNNNNNNNNNNNNNNNNNNNNNNNNNNNNNNNNNNNNNNNNNNNNNNNNNNNNNNNNNNNNNNNNNNNNNNNNNNNNNNNNNNNNNNNNNNNNNNNNNNNNNNNNNNNNNNNNNNNNNNNNNNNNNNNNNNNNNNNNNNNNNNNNNNNNNNNNNNNNNNNNNNNNNNNNNNNNNNNNNNNNNNNNNNNNNNNNNNNNNNNNNNNNNNNNNNNNNNNNNNNNNNNNNNNNNNNNNNNNNNNNNNNNNNNNNNNNNNNNNNNNNNNNNNNNNNNNNNNNNNNNNNNNNNNNNNNNNNNNNNNNNNNNNNNNNNNNNNNNNNNNNNNNNNNNNNNNNNNNNNNNNNNNNNNNNNNNNNNNNNNNNACAUGCCAUGGUCACUUCUGUGCAAAUAACAUGAUAACUCAAACAUGGCGGACCUGAUAACUUAUGUACCCCGGUCCUGCGAGGAUGGGGGUGGGGCAAGUCGCUGAAACAUGCCACGGUAACUUAUGUGCAAAUUACAUGAUAACUCAUACAUGGUAAACCUGAUAACUUUGUAGGAGGGGUCGGGGUGGGGGUGUCGUUGAAACGUACGACAGUAACUUCUAUGCAAAUAACAUGAUAACUCACACAUCGUAAACAUGAUAAAUUAUGUACCAGUCCUGGUAACUUUGUCGGAGGGGCCGGAGUGGGGGAGUCGUUGAAACAUAUCACGAUAACUUCUAUGCAAAUAAUAUGAUAACUCACAAAUCAUAGACAUUAAAUUAUGUACCCAGUCCUGAUAACUUUGUCGGUGGGGUUGGGGUUGGGGGGAGUCAUUGAAACAUACCACGGUAACUUCUAUGCAAAUAACAUGAUAAGUCGCACAUUGUAGAAAUGAUAAAUUAUGUACCAAAUCCUGAUAACUUUAUCAGCGGGGGUAGGGUGGGAGGAGUUGUUGAAUCAUACCACGAUAACUCUUAUGCAAAUAACAUGAUAACUCACACAUCGCAGACUUGAUAAUUUAUGUACCCGACCGUGAUAAAUGUGACGAUUGUGGCGAGGGGUGGCGGGGGGGGGGGGCAACCCCGGUAAUUUAUAUGUAAAUAGCUUAUUAAUAGACACAUACUAAGCUGAUAACUCACAUAUAAACGCCAUUAUAAUUUUUGAUUUUUCUGUUGAAAAAUAUACAACCGGUAAUUUCUAUGUAAAAAGCAUGAUAAUGUAUACAUCACAGAUUUGAUAACUAAUAUCUUACGUUUUAAACACCAUGGUAUCCUUCAUCCAAAGGGAAAAAAGUUUUUUAAACAUUUUCAUCGGUAAUUUAUACUUCCUCAUGCCUUAACCUUCUCGUACUGUAGUUAUCAGCCUUAUCAUGGUAUAGUUAUCAUGUUGCUCAUAUCAUAGUUAUCAUGCUGGUCAUGCCAAAGUUACCAAGACAAACUUUAUUUUUUCUGAUAUGGCAGAAAUAAGAAAUGUUCAAAUAAUAUUGUUUAUCUACAAUAGACAAUGACAAAAGGUGGCUUAGUUGGUUAUUAGGCUCAAUAGGUAUUGCAUAGACGUAGGUUCGAAUCCUCUUUCAAGCAUUUUUAUUUUAUUUUCAUAUUAUGUGAUGAAAAACCAGAAAAAAUCACUAGCGAUUUACCAUGGUUUUUGAGAGAAGGAAAAAAAUUGGUAGAAAGCAAGCGUGGGAAGAUAGCAUGGGAACUAGUUGUGCGGAUCUGUCGCUAACGACCAGUCGACUGGUUGUUAGCACAGUCCUAUUAUGAAACUACAUUUCAAAAUGAAUCUAGUGAUACUAAUUUAGUGCCAUAAAUGCUGCAAUUUUUUCUUAUAAAAUUGGCUGAAAUUUUAAAAGUUUAAUUUAGAAAAAAAAAACUAGAUGUACACUUAUUUGCGGACGGAGAGAGUACGUACAUACAUAGCUAGCUUAUCCAGCCGACGCCUAUUUGGGGCCUUAAGCGCUAGUUAAAGGCUAUUGUUUUAGAAAGCGCACACUCCCUCCUUCCCCCUUCGCUACUAAAUGGGCCGGCCCAUCGAGCACAUGAGAGGAAGAUUCUUCCCCGGUUUUGGGAAGCUUCCUAGCCGGUAUUUUCUUCUGGUAUUUUUUGUUUUCAAGUUUUCCUCUUCUUUUUUCAAUUUUUUUCAAAUUAAAGAACUUUUAUCUAAAUUUCAUGAACUUUUUCCAAAUCAUUGAUCUUUUUUGAGAUUUUUGCAAACUUUUAAGUGAACGUUUUCAGUUUUUUAGCAAUUUUUUAGUGAAUAUUUUCUCAAAAUCAGUGAACUAUGUCCAAACUUGCGAUUUUUCUUUCAAUACGCGACAUUUUUUUCAAAUAUGAGAAAUUUCAAAACCGAUGAACUUUUUUUUUCAAAUUCAUGAUUUUUUCUCUUCAAAAUCUGUGAACUUUUCUCACUUUGUCAUGCUUUUUUAAAAUUAAUUAAUUUUUUUGAAUCCUCAAACUUUUUUCAAAAUUGAGGAUUUUUUUCAAAUUCAUUAUGUUUUUCUUUAAAAUCUAUAAACUAUUUAUUUUGAACUUUUUUAAAACUCAUUACCUUCUUCAAAUCCUUGAAUUUUUUUCAUUCCAUGAGCUUUUGCAAAUCUGUGAAUUAUUUCUUCAUGAAUCUUUUAUUUAAAAUCCGUAAAAUUGUUGUAGAUUUAUAUUUUUUUAAAUCAAAACAUAAGACAAAGGGAGGGGAAAAUCGAGUAAAAGAAAAACUGGUGCGAUCGACCUACGUACGCAUGAUAGAAAAGGCAAACGAUGGAAGGGAGCACUAAAUGGGAUGAGGCUCAGGACAAUUCCUCGUGCAACAGGCGCCGAAGAGGAGCUCUCGCUUACCCAGCAACGCACGCCUAAGCAAAACGAAAAAUGAACAGCGGCUGCAGCCCACAAGCAAAGCCACAACCCACGAUGUCCGUACACGUACGGAUUAUAUUUCCUAUUCCAUAGAUCGCUUCUACCAUUCGUUCGCCUCAACUAUACCCGGCCAUGGGAAGUUUGGCCCGGCCAGCCCGGCCCGAAAAAGCUCAACCCGGCCCAGCCCGACGCUGCUCCCGGGCCAGGCUUGGGCCUAGAUUUUGAGCCCGAGCCCGGCCUGUCGUUUUUGCACUUUUCUGAAGAUCGGGCCGGGUCGGCCCGAAGCCCGACGGGCUUUUACAUGUUCGGGCCGAACUCGGGCCCAGAAAACAGGCCCGAUGGCCGGGCCAGGCCCGGCCCGGGCCUGGGUUUUUUGCGUCGGGCUUGGCUAGGCCCGGCCCGAGGUAUGGCCAGGUAUAGCCUUAACCAACAUCGCUUAAAGAUAACCCCACGGGUAACCCCCCGGAGAAUGUGUUGCUCCAUGCCUAAGGCAUGGUGCUAGAAGAUCUGGUGGUUGACGAUGGUGUGGUUCACGAGCUCAAGGCUCUGUUCGACUCCCCCCUUUGUGAGCAACACAUAUGGAUCAUUGCCGCGCUCUUUAGCAAGACGAUCUCGUCGACGGAUGAAAUGGAGGCUUGCAACUCAGUGGCGUACAUGGAGAACCUUUGCCGCCACUACCCCGAGAUCAUGGAGGCGGAGAGGGCGAUAUUCGUCGAUAAUGAGGGGGAGGUCAUCUUCAUCUCCGACGACGAGGUGCAAGGCGGCGAGGAGGGGGAGUUCGACGUCGAGGAGUGGCGGAGCAUCUUCCCCAACUACGACGACGACGGCACCGGCCCGGACCCAUGUCUCACCGGCAAUGGCUUGUCGAGAAAAGAUUGGCUCGACCUCCACUAUGGCCAAUGAAGAUGAGUAGUCUAGUGCAGUUUAAGGUUGAAUUUAUGUUUAAUGUUCGGUUGUCAAGACUAUGUAGAACUCAUGUUUAAAUGUAUGCAAAAUUAGGUUGAAUUUAUGCAAAUUUAUAUUUUACUUCGCUAAGUUUAGAGGCAUCGGCUAGAACCGACCAAAACUUAGUGGAGUAUAAAUACUCCACUAGAAUUUACUCGGCCGGAUACUCCUCUAUUUUAUAGGGGAUCGGUUAGAAAUGCCCUUAUUUGCAUCCUUAUACAUAUCUCCAAAGGACAUGAAGUGUUAUGAUAUAUAGUAUCAUCACAUACAUCUGUGAAUGCGUACAGACCCAAAUAUAGAUUGACAUAUGUAAAGAGACUUUAUCUCUCACCGAUCCUCUAUAUGCUUGCUAUCGGCUCGAUACAAAGGUUAAACCUCCAUAAAAACAAAAAUACCAUUCGAUUUGUGUGUAGUGAUACAUAGACUGUUGAAUAUGCUCGAAACGGCAAUAAAAAACAAGACAUUUCCAUUUCCCCUCUAAUUUGUUUCCAGACUCAUCUUUACACCUAAUAAAAAAUAGUGGUCAACUUUGCCUUCUUCCAUCUGGUGCCCUUAUGAAAACACUCCCCCGUGUUGUUUCCGUUCGGUCAAAGGCAUUUGACCAUCUACAGGACAUUUUGUGGACAAUUUUGCGCUUGUGUGCAUAUGCCAUUGACAUGUGAGACCUUUUUGACAAAGGAAAUAUAUUAAUAUCAAGGAGAUACCAAUUACAACCAACCUCUACAAUAACGAAAUGUCGUAAAGACAUCACAGAUGCACACAGCUAAAAGACAAAAAAAUAAAAAAUAAAUAAAUGAAAAAUCCUGCUAUAGUGAUCAAGUCCUUGUAGCUGCAGCACGAGCCACAACCAAGACAACACCAAAAGUCCAAAUUCUUCAAAAGCGACACCUCCAAGAAGAAAACAGUGCACAAGCGCCGUCAUCGCUUGAUCAUAGAUCUUAGGUUUUCACCCUGAAGAAAAUCCGCACUCUCAAAACAAUGCCUUCAACAAGAACACUGCCAGACACAACCAAUUAAGGCCAGACCUUAGGUUUUCACCCUGAAAAUUAAGACUUUGUACUUCGUGUGUGUUGCCGCCCCCACUUGCUGAUGCCACUGCUACAAGUCAUGAAUCCCCAAGCGAAGUCAUCAUCGCCUCAAAGUCUCGAUCCACCAUUAUUAGGCCUCGGAUGUCAGCCACCAUGACAUUCUCCGCCACUGUCUUCACCAUAAAAUUUGAAAUACCGACAUGUCCUAUAAUGUCAACAGACAACGAAGCUUCACAUCACACCCUCCUGAAGCCACACGGGCUGAAAUUGGGGCAUACGCGACCGAAUCCAUUUUGACCAGUAAUCUACAAGCAUCAAGCAUCCAAUGAAGAUCUCUGACGAAGUAUUCCGAAACUCGUCAAUGGUCCGAUCAAAGAGGGUCGACAUCUCGCAGAACACCAUUUUGGAGCAAGAAGAACCCUAUGAGCGGCAGAUGGCGGCCACGGCAACCCAUCCGGAUCCACAACCUCCACCCUGCCCAGAUCUAGGCAGAAGCGAAGCACCUCGGGCAACCAACCCUCAACCCAUGGCUAGGCUAAGUGGUCGCCGACCCCCUGGCUGCAACCACCACCACCGGUUUGAAAUCCCCGUCCCGAUCCAGAUCCGGGCCAGGACGGGUCACCGGUGCGGACGCACCCCCAGGAGAUGGGGCAUGGCACCCCCCCUUCAUGCAUCGACGGCCACUCCGGGGCGUCAGCACCACGAGGACGUAAGUGGGGAGUUCCACCGGCGGCGAGCAACGCAUGUUGCAUGACGGAGAGCGAUGGGGAGGAGAGGAGGCUGUGGGGCGCCCCGCCGCCGCCUACCCACGCCACGACUUUGCCCGACGGGGCUAACAUGCAGCGGCGAGGUGGGGAAGGUGGGAGCAGGCGGCGGCGAUUUGGGGCUCCGCCCGUGUCGCCCCGAUGGGACGACGCGGGGGCUGUUUCGAGUCUCCGGCUAGGCCAACCGGUUCGUAUGGACCUCGACAUGUGAGACCUAACCUUGGGAAAAAGGAAAAAAGCUCUCACUAUUUCACCUUGAGGGAGUCCUGGAUUAGGGGGUCUCCGAACAGCCGGACUAUAUCCUUUGGCCGGACUAUUGGACUAUGAAGAUACAAGAUUGAAGACUUCGUCCCGUGUCCGGAUGGGACUCUCCUUGGCGUGGAAGGCAAGCUAGGCAAUACAGAUAUGAAGGUCUCCUCCCUUGUAACCGACUAUGUGUAACCCUAGCCCCCUCUGGUGUCUAUAUAAACCGGAAGGUUUAGUUCGUAGGACAAUAGAAAAUCAUAUCAUAGGCUAGCUUCUAGGGUUUAGCCUCUACGAUCUCGUGGUAGAUCAACUCUUGUAAUACUCGUAUCAUCAAGAACAAUCCAGCAGGACGUAGGGUAUUACCUCCAUCAAGAGGGCCCGAACCUGGGUAAACAUCGUGUCCCUUGCUUCCUGUUACCAUCCGCCUUAGACGCAUAGUUCGGGACCCCUACCCGAGAUCCGCCGGUUUUGACACCGACAUUGGUGCUUUCAUUGAGAGUUCCACUGUGUCGUCACCAUAAGGCUUGAUGGCUCCUUCGAUCAUCGAUAGCGAUGCGGUCCAGGGUGAGGUUUUCCUCCCCGGACAGAUCUUUGUAUUCGGCGGCUUCGCACUGCGGGCCAAUUCGCUUGGCCAUCUGGAGCAGAUCGAGAGCUACGCCCCUGGCCAUCAGGUCAGAUUCGGAAACUUAAACUACACUGCCGACAUCCGCGGAGACUUGAUCUUCGACGGAUUCGAGCCCAUGUCAGGUGCGCCACACAGUCACGACGAACACGACGUAACUCUGUCGUCGGACAGUGUUCGGGAGAUCGCAUCUGCAACUACUCUGGCCUUCAAUCCGGAGCAAAUUGCGCCAUCCAAGGACGGAGGGAUAGACCCCGCCAUGGAGGCCACACUCUCAGUGGCGAUAGAGCCGGAUACUGACUUCACCCCUUACGAGAGCCGUGUCGCCGAACCACUGAUUCACCUCCGGCCACGGACUCCGAGCCGCUUACAUCCGUGCCCGUCGAAUCCGACUGGGCGCCGAUCAUGGAGUUCACCUGCGCGGAUAUCUUUCAGCACUCGCCCUUCGGUGAUGUGCUAAAUUCAUUGAGGUCCCUCUCCCUGUCAGGAGAAUCUUGACCGAACUAUGUCUGGCUAGAAUGGGAUGCGGACGAUGAAGAAAUUCGCUGCCCACCCACCACCCACUUAGUAGCCACUGUUGACGAUUUAACCGACAUGCUCGACUUCGACUCCGAAGACAUCGACGGUAUGGACGAUGAUGCAGGAGACAAGCAGGAACCACCGCCCACAGGGCGCUGGACCGCUACAUCAUCCUACGACAUAUAUAUGGUGGACACCCCUAAAGAAGGCAAUGGCAACGAGACAGCGGAGGAUGACCCCUCCAAGAAGCAACCCAAGCGCCGACGUCAGCGGCUCCGCUCUAAGUCCCGCCACAGCAAAAGUAGUGAUACCGGCACAGGAGAUAAUAACACUCCGGAUAGUGCCGAAGGCAAUCACAAUCCCCUCCAGCAUGAUGUAGAGCCAGAGGAUGAACAAGCCAGCCCUCUAGAGCAGGCAGCAGAUGGAGAACCAGAGGAGGACAAUUACAUGCCUCUCUCCGAAGACGAGGCGAGCCUCAGCGACGAAGAAUUUAUCGUGCCUGAGGACCCCGUCGAACAGGAGCGCUUCAAGCGCCGGCUUAUGGCCACAACAAAUAGCCUGAAGAAAAAGCAACAACAACUUCAAGCUGAUCAAGACUUGCUAUCAGACAGAUGGACCGAAGUCCUUGCGGCUGAGGAAUACGAACUCGAGCGCCCCUCCAAGAGUUAUCCAAAAAGCAGGUUGCUACCUCACCUCGAGGAGCAAGCACUGAAGCCUCAUGAACCAGUGUACGAUGCGGCUGAAUGGCCACUGCGUGGCCAAGCCAAAGAGGCGUUUCAGCCUGAAGUUCAGCCUGCACCUCGCCGCCACUCAGUCCAAAAUACCAAGGCUCGGGGCAACACACGGGACCUGCGAGACGUAUUGGACAGUAAGGCAAAACUUGCAAGGUCAAUAUACGGGUCACGGGCACGCGCCCCAACAUGGGACGAUGAUCGUCGCGCCCGAUAUGCCAAAAGCAAAUCCGACCGGGCCGAAUACAAUAGACAAGACUCAUAUGAACUGCGUCGGGAUAUAGCCCGACACAGAGGCGCCGCACACCCCCUAUGCUUCACUGAUGAAGUUAUGGAUCACGAAUUCCCGGAGGGUUUCAAACCCGUAAAUAUUGAAUCAUAUGAUGGUACAACAGAUCCCGCCGUAUGGAUUGAGGAUUUCCUCCUUCACAUCCACAUGGCUCGCGGUGAUGAUCUACACGCCAUCAAGUACCUCCCACUAAAACUCAAAGGACCAGCUCGACAUUGGCUGAAUAGCUUGCCAGCAGACUCCGUCGGCAGUUGGGAGGAUCUGGAAGACGCAUUCCUUGACAACUUCCAGGGCACUUAUGUGCGACCACUGGAUGCCAAUGACUUGAGCCAUAUAACCCAGCAGCCAGGGGAAUCGGCCAGACAAUUCUGGACUCGGUUCCUGACUAAGAAAAACCAAAUUGUCGAAUGUCCGGACGCAGAGGCCCUCGCGGCAUUCAAGCACAACAUCCGUGACGAGUGGCUUGCCCGCCACCUUGGCCAGGAGAAGCCGAAGUCUAUGGCAGCCCUCACGACACUCAUGACCCGCUUUUGUGCGGGCGAGGAUAGCUGGUUGGCUCAUAGCAAUAACACAUCGAGGAAUCCGGGUGCUUCGGAUACCAAAGAUGCCAACGGCAGACAACGUCAUAACAGACCAAAGCGCCACAAUAACGACGAUAACACCGAGGAUACGACAGUCAAUGCUGGAUUCAGAGGCUCUAGAUCCGGUCAGCAGAAAAAGCCAUUUAAAAGAAGUACUCCGGCUCCGUCCAGUUUGGAUCGCAUAUUGGAUCAUUUGUGUCAAAUCCACGGCACCCCCGACAAGCCAGCCAAUCACACCAACAGAGAAUGCUGGGUGUUCAAGCAGACCGGCAAGUUAAAUGCCGAAAACAAGGACAAGGGGCUGCAUAGUGAUGACGAGGAGGAGCCCUGGCUGCCGAACACGGGAGGAUAAAAGGGGUUCCCCCCACAAGUGAAGACGGUGAACAUGAUAUACACAACCCACAUUCCCAAGAGGGAGCGGAAGCGUGCACUAAGAGACGUCUAUGUGAUGGAGCCCGUCGCCCCAAAGUUCAACCCAUGGUCUGCUUGCCCGAUCACCUUUGAUCGCAGGGAUCACCCCACUAGUAUCCGUCAUGGCGGAUCCGCCGCACUGGUCCUAGACCCCAUCAUCGACGGAUUUCAUCUCACUCGAGUCCUUAUGGACGGCGGCAGCAGCCUGAACCUGCUCUACCAGGAUACAGUGCGAAAAAUGGGUAUCGAUCCCUUGAGGAUCAAAUCCACCAAAACCACCUUUAAGGGCGUCAUCCCAGGUGUAGAGGCCCAUUGCACGGGCUCAAUCACACUGGAAGUAGUCUUCGGAUCAUCGGACAACUUCGGAAGCGAGGAGUUAAUCUUCGACAUCGUCCCGUUUCGCAGUGGCUAUCAUGCACUGCUGGGACGAACUGCAUUUGCAAAAUUUAAUGCAGUACCGCAUUACGCAUACUUCAAGCUCAAGAUGCCAGGACCUCAGGGGGUCAUAACAGUUAAUGGAAACACAGAACGCUCGCUCCGCACGAAAGAGCACACUGCGGCCCUCGCAGCAGAAGCACAAAGUAGCCUUUCAAGGCAAACCACUAAUUCGGCGAUACAACCCCUGAACACCUUCAAGCGUGUCCGGAGUAAACUGCAACAGGAUUGCCUGGCACGUUCAGAGCUCGCCUAGCAAUUCGGCCCCGUCCCAAUCCCAGUCAAGCGACAAAAUCCGUGCCGCACGUACAUAAUUACGCACUGAAAAUACCAUGGACAUAGGCAGGGGCACGAUCAGGGCACGUCACGCAAUGCGGCUUAACCGCCCUCGGGGCUGUAUAUCUUUAUCAUUUCUUUUCUCUUUCAGGGCCUAACUCUCUGGAAACCCUUUCCGGCAGUAUGAUUGCCGGACACAUUACGGGAAGGAACAACCAAGGCGGCAAGAAGCUAAGAUGUACACGGGAAUCCUGAGGUGGUCUCUAAUAAUAAUACCCGCUUUCUAUACGCAGCUUGCCCUUGGAUAGGACAUUUCGAAUAGUCCUACUUUCUGCUAAUUGCACUACCUGUACCAGUAUGUUUCGACGUAUUAUUUAAAUAACAAUGCAUAGAAUUAGUCUAUUAUUGUGUUAUUCGUUCUCUUUUUUUCUUCCUUUAUGUCCAUUUACGACAAUCCGCACCCGUCAAUUCGGGUACGGUCAGUACGCCAGGGGCUUUCGUUUACCCCAUAAUACAGCGCGAGAAGUCCGAACACUUUUGACAGUGCGGCACCCCGAACUUAUAUCAUCAUAUGCAUCAGCUCCGAAUCAUGUCUUGGGUCAAUAGUUGGGUUUGCCCGGCUCCCAUGCUUUGGUACCUUACAUUCCGCUAUAUCGGAUAAGGUAGCGGUGGGAGAACUACUGCGAUUGUGUCCCGGCUCUUCCGGACGAGCACCUCAGUAGAGAAAGCCGAAAGCUGAUUGUCAUGAUAAGGCAAGAGACUGGUCGCUGUUCGAGAGGUCUCAAGUCCUUAAAGACUUUUUCUGCUUCGGGCGAGGAGUCGGCCUUGUCCGGCUUAGGCGUGUAUAGUGCCCCAAAUUUGGCCUUCCGAAUACCAAGGGCUUCGCCAAAAUUUAAAAUUAUAGACUUCUAUGGCUAAGUGAGAGUGAUAAAGCAUUAUAGUCCGAUUGCCUAGUUCGUUGCGUUGAACACCUCCCUUGAAGGACCCAAAAUUGGGGGUAAAGAGUGCUCAGGUUUAUCCCGAACACCCCAGUACUAGUUACAUGGGGGCAGAAUCCAACGACUGGCCAACUCUCAAAUUUUAUAAACGGCCGCACAGAAGGUAAUAUUUUAAAUUAAAAAAGCGUCGCAUGGCGCAAAUGAACUCGUUUCAUAUUACAGGAUCACAUGAGUAUGUUCAUUCAAAAAUUACAUCCUUGGCACACUCAUCCGCCACAAGGCGGGAACCCUUCAGGACACUCUCAUAGUACAUCUCGGGGCAGCGAUGCUCCUUGCCCUCUGGCGACCCCUCCUUCACCAGCUUCACGGCGUCCAGCUUCGCCCAGUGCACCUUUGUCUGGGCAAAAGCCCUGCGCGCACCCUCGAUGUAGAUGGACCGCUUUAUGACUUCAAGCCGUGGGCAGGCGUCGACGAGCCGCCUUACCAGACCGAAGUAGUUGCCGGACAGGGGCUCGCCAGGCCACAUCCGGACUAUAAGGCCCCUCAUGACUUGUUCGACCGCCUUGUGAAGCUCGACCAACUGCUUCAGCUGGUCGCUCAAGGGCACGGGGUGUUCGGUCCCAGUAUACUGAGACCAGAACAACUUCUCCGUCGAGCUCCCCUCCUCAGCUUGGUAAAACUCCGUGGCAUCCAGUACACUGCGGGGAAGAUCUGCAAACGCUCCUGGAGAGCUCCGAACUCGGGUAAGAAAAAGGAAAGUCUCCUUCACGUUCUUGCUUUGCAUAAUGAAUGCCUUACCCGCUGCUAUCUUCUUCACCACAUCAAUCUCCUGGAGGGCCUUGGCGCUCCGGAUGCUUUCAAGCGCCUGCGGGAGCUCGGACUCUCGCGUCUUAGAGUCAAGCUCCAAGGACUCGUGCUUUUUGGCGAGAGCCUCGAGCUCUUGCUGCACCUCACCUACUCGGCCUUCUUGCUUCUCCCGUUCAAUGCGCUCCUUGGCCGCUUUGUUUUCUGCCUCGGACAGCGCCUUCCUCAGGGUUGCCACUUCGGUCGUGGCCCCUGGCAAAUCCAUGAUGAUCCUAUUACUUUACACCCAAAUUUCUUUUUAAAUAUAUAGACAAGGGUAUUGCUUACCUUUGCUCUCCUCGAGCUGCCUCUUGGUAAGGCCGAGCUCAUCCUCAGACCGCUCCAGGUCCUGCUUCAGCACAUAGACCUUCGUAGUACGUGCGGCAGCGGCCAGCAAUGAAGCCUGCACAUACACAUAGACAUUUUUCUGAUUAGACUCCUGAGUUAUCAUUUGAUCCUCUAUCCGACCUUUCUUUCCGAACGCCGAAGAGAGCAUCAAGGGCUAGUAUCCAUGUGGGCAUCUUUUCCUAUAUCUUCAUUGCUUACCUCAAAGCCUGUUAGGAGGCUGGCACAAGCUUCAGUCAGUGCGUUUUUGGCGGACUGAACUUUCUCGAUCACCACACUCAUGAUAGUAUGGUGCUCUUCAUUGAUGGAAGCGUCGUGAAGCGUUUCCAGCAAGUUGUCUGGUGCCUCUGGAUAGAUAGAGGACACUGGCACGGGCGGCUUGCCCCCCUUAACGGGGGGUCGCCGGCCGGAGUUCGGAACCACCAAAGAUUCCGGUGCAGUGUUCGGCUGGGGGCCGAACCUAGAGCCCAUGGGAGUCCGGAUCCCUUUGCGCCCAGGGUCCGGAAGGUUGCCUCGAGGCGCUCCCAGGACUGCCUCCCCUUGGCCCGGUGUUUGUUGAGACAACACCUCGACGUUGUCCGCAGGGCAAGGAGUGGAGGCGGUCGGAAGAGAACCGCUGUUCAUAUCCGAUGAGUCCAACGAACCGCUCGACGAAGUUACAUCGAGAUGAGCUCGGGACGAACUGCAUAAUCAUGUUUGGCAUGAGAAGAAGCAGUGCAGUAAAACAUACCAUGAAUUACUAUGGUGUCCGGAUACUUAAGACUUCGCCACGGGCUUGACCCUGGGUAGCCACUCGUCGCCGCUGUAGGCGACCGUCAUGGAGUAGUCCGGAGGGAGGGUCUUGCCCUUCUUGGACCCUUCGGCCUCCCCGGUUGGGUCGGCCUUCCUUUUCUUGUCUCCCCCGGCUGGGGGGGGGGAUAGAACUUUCCUCUUCCUCCUCCUCGUCUUCGUGGGAGGAGUGCGCGUCGGAGUCAUCGGACGAUGAGUCAGAUACAACCUUGCGCUGGAGACCCUUUCGGGUCCCCGCGGCCUUCUUUUUGGUCUUCCUCACCGGCACCUCAUAAGGUGCCGGAGUCAGCAUCUCUGUUAGGAGAGCGCCUGCAGGAUCUUCGGGCAGGAGGGCUGGGCAAUCAAGCUGCUCCGCUGUUUUUAUCCAGUCCUGUUUAUGACAUAGAAGUUUAGAUCCUGCAUAUGACUAAACCGGGGCAAAUAAAUACCCUAAGAGAAAUAAAAACUUACCAGAUUGGCGCGACGCUUUGCGCUGAGUCCGCGGUCCUCGGUGAGGGAAGGAGGUACCUCAGCGCCCUUGAACAGCACCCUCCAGACGUCCUCGUGCGUUGUGUCAUAGAGCUCUCGCAGCGUCUGGUGCUUGUCCGAGUCGAACUCCCACAAAUCGAAUGCCCGUCGUUGACACGGGAGGAUCCAGCGGAAGAGCAUGACCUGGACCACGUUGACGAGCUUGAUUUUCUUACUCGUCAUGUUUCGGAUGCAGGUCUGGAGUCCGGUCAACUCUACCGAAGAACCCCAUGACAGGCCCUUCUCUUUCCAGGAGGUGAGCCGCAUGGGGAUUCCAGAUCGAAAUUUGGGGGCCGCCACCCAGUUGGAGUUGCGCGGCUCGGUGAUGUAGAACCACCCCGAUUGCCACCCCUUUAUGGUAUCCACAUAGGUGCCCUCGAGCCAGGUGACGUUAGGCAUCUUGCCCAUCAUGGCGCCUCCGCACUCUGCUUGCUGGCGACCCACCACCUUCGGUUUAACAUUGAAGGUUUUCAGCCAUAUGCCGAAGUGGGGCCUGAUGCGGAGGAAGGCCUCACACACGACGAUAAACGCCAUGAUGUUGAGGAUGAAAUUGGGGGCCAGAUCAUGAAAAUCCAGCCCGUAGUAAAACAUGAGCCCGCGGACAAAUGGGUGGAGGGGAAAUCCCAGUCCGCGGACAAGAUGGGUAAGAAAAACUACCCUCUCAUGGGGUUCGGGCGUAGGGACGAUCCGUCCUACGUCUGGCAGCCGAUGCGCGAUAUCCGCGGCCAGAUAUCCGGCUUCCCAUAACUUUUUGAUGUUCUCCUCCGUGACGGAGGAGACCAUCCACUUGCCUCCUACUCCGGACAUGCUUGGAGUGGUUUGAGAAGAAGAACGCGAGCUUGGGCGCUAGAGCUCGAGUGCGGGAAUGGGUAAGCAAGGAGGAAGAAGGCGUGGGUGAAAAGAGUAAAUCCUUGUCCCUUUAUAAGGGCGAAUAGGCGAUGCGUCUCCCCACUUGUCUGGUAAAACCGCUUAUUCCCCAGCCGCUGUAAUUGAUGGCGCGGUUGGGUUACCCACGUCCGUAUUGAUGAGAAUCCCGUAAUAAGGGGGACACAAUCUCUGCUUUGACAAGACGUGUUGAGAAAAUCGCCCCAUGUUAUGUGUGGUGCUGGUUGAGAAAAACGGUCCGAAUAAUGACCGAGCCAUGACAUGACAUCAUGCUGUCAGAACGCGUUAGCAGAUUAGAUUUGUGCGAAUAUUAUUCUCUCUGCGGUAGUAUGUGGAACUUGUUUUGCAGAGCCGGACACUAUUCUGGUGUUCAAAAUCUUCUAUGGAGUAUUCGGAGGAGGAACCCGCCUUGCAAUGCCGAAUACAAUACCGCGCGCCGGACUCAUCAUCAUUGAAGCCUAGUUUAGGGGCUACUGAGGGAGUCCUGGAUUAGGGGGUCUCCGGACAGCUGGACUAUAUCCUUUGGCCGGACUAUUGGACUAUGAAGAUACAAGAUUGAAGACUUCGUCCCGUGUUCGGAUGGGACUCUCCUUGGCAUGGAAGGAAAGCUACGCAAUACGGAUAUGAAGAUAUCUUCCCUUGUAACCGACUCUGUGUAACCCUAGCCCCCUCUGGUGUCUAUAUAAACCGGAGGGUUUAGUCCGUAGGACAACAGACAAUCAUACCAUAGGCUAGCUUCUAGGGUUUAGCCUCUACGAUCUCGUGGUAGAACAACUCUUGUAAUACUCGUAUCAUCAAGAACAAUCCAGCAGGACGUAGGGUAUUACCUCCAUCAAGAGGGCCCGAACCUAGGUAAACAUCAUGUCCCCUGCUUCCUGUUACCAUCCGCCUUAUACGCACAGUUCGGGACCCCCUACCCGAGAUCCACCGGUUUUGACACCAACACACCUCCUCUCUAUCAUUACAUGUGGGGCCUAAACACAAAUUUAAAAAGGCCAUGGAAAAAACUUAUUCUCUCGCCUACCUCACAGUCUCUCUCUCACCUCCGACGACACCAUGUCAAGCCCAAUCCCUGUGUUGCUGCUAGCUCGGCACGCCUGACUCUCUCUCUCUCUCUCCGAUAUCCCUUCGUCCUCCCUCUUUCUCUCUCGCUAGAGAAUGCAGAAGCGCCCGGUCAUGCUGUCGCCGAAAACGCAUGGCCAACGACAGCCCCAAGCCUUGAAAUGAUGUCUGGGCCUUUCUUGAUUGGGCUGGCUUGCUAAAGACUAUUAAAUUUCUCCCCCAUACUCUAGUAUGGGUGAACCUUUCUGAGGCACAUCUUCACUUGUCCAUUAUCACCAGAAUGGAUGGCAAGCUUCAACCAUGUGAUAUCUUCGUGAUGCUCCACUUGAACUUGCACAACUCAACCUUGAUGACGAUCACCACUUGUCAUCUUCCAUGGGUUAUAUAAGAUUUUUCUUUUGAUGCAAGCCCAUGGAAAAAUACCUAUCCACACAGAGAAACACCAACCAAUGAAACAUGGGUUAGUUCACAAAUUGUAAUGGACAAUGCUUAACAUACCAUGAGAUCACUUGAUCCAACUUGGUACAUCUUCUAUGCUUUGUGUGUUGAUCAACUUGAAUCCACUCUUUGUACUUUGACUUGAUGAAUCUUGUAUCUUAUCUUCUAUAUUCAUUAAGAUGAUGCCUUGAAGGUAAACACGAAUGUUCACACAAUCUUGUUCUUCAGGACAUGCCUGCAAUAGGCUCAACACCUCAUAAGACCAACUUUGCAUAACUCUUUGAAUAACACCAUGGUCAACCCAUAAUCUCCCUCUCCUAACAUCGAAACCAACAUAUGGUCUUCAAGUAGUGCUUAUGGACAAACCCUUCAAGUACAACUCAAGGCAAUCAUUAGUCCAUAGGGAUUGUCAUCAAUUACCAAAACCAAACAUGGGGGCACCAUGCUCUGUCAAUAAGUAACACAAUUGGCUCGUCCUUAGCAUUACUAAGGAUUGGUCCCCUUGCAACACUCUUUUACUUUUUAUUGUUAAUCACGUUUCAUUGCUCCAUUACAAUCACCAAACAGAACACCAUUACAACUUUAAGCAUUUACAAUGAAUUCUUGAUACUUUGCACCUACCAAUUCAUUUGGCUCCUCGUGGGCACGAUACUCUUACUUAUUGAAAACAUCUAAACUUGACCCCCUAAACUAGUGGGACAUAAUCCUGAAAAAUAACUUAAGGGAAAGAUUAAUCAUGCAUUGAGUAGAUUCCUCAAUUAAGUAGAAGGACUUGAAAAAUAGUUGUGUUGCUAAGUAUCAGGCACUAAUAUGAGUGGCACAUUAGAAAGUUUAGUAACCAUGGUCAACCAUGACACAUGAAAAGAAGGGCAUUUACCUCCCUUUCUGGAGUGUGGUCGCGGCUUGGCUGGAAACUAUGGAGGAGUUGUUAGGGAUGACACAAACUUCUACAUGUUAGAAUUUUUAUAAGACCGAUAGAGGAGCCUUGUGAGAGGAAUCACUUUAAGGCUUUGAGAUGUUGGUGACAAGACAAAGUUUAUGUUAUGGACAAUUCCAUUCGAUUGUGUAGACGAGUCUUGCUCAAACCUUUGGAGGAACCUUAGGCCAUAGGGAUCACCUAAAGCUUUAGUAAACACAUUGAGAGGCAAUAUCUCUUUCUCCAAAUAAGGGGGGAGAGGUCCAAGUGACACAUGGGGUAGCUUUAGCCGUGUAAGAUUGAUGAGUGUUUUGAAUUAAGGUUUGUAGUGUGUGUGUGUGUGUGUGUGUUGUGUUAACGAUCUAUGUAUUUGGGGCACACAUUGCAUCUUCAAAACAAUAUUGACUAUUCUCAUUUUAGGUAACGACUAAAUACCAUACUACCAUUAAGUGGAAUUGGGUAUACCAGAUGUUUUGUGAGAGCCCAUGAUUCAAAUUGUUGUUGUAUGUUGGUAGUUGUGUGCUUGUACGGAAUUAUUGCUUCUUUGGAUGUUUGUUUGUAUUAUAAUUAAUGAACAAACAUGGUGCAUUAAGAAUAAAUCAGUUUACACUAACUUGAAGGAGACAUGUGUCCACAUGCGGAUGCGUAUUUUAUGUUGGUAGCUGUGGGUACAUGCUAUAUAGUAAUGUUGCGGUCGCAUAUCCAUGCGUGGGUGCAUAUUCACGUGUGGUUGCGUAUUCGCACACACUUUUGUUCUCACAUGCACAUGUGCAUUUUCAACUUACCAUUGUCCCACAUGAAUAUUACAUUGGUUGUUAUCAUUUGUGGCUAGUCAUGUCUAAGUUGUGGUAUUGACUUAUUCUAGAUUUUAGUUGUUUCACAAGCAUACCUCAUGGCUUUAUUGGAAAUUAGAAGUUUUAAAUGUGUUACUUAAGCGUAACAUAAUUGUGAAACAUAAUGUAUUCCUCUUGUUCAUCAAUAGAGAAAGCAAAAAUGACAUAUUGUUCCUCAAUAAAAAACAUUAACUACUCAUUCAACAAGAAGAACUCCAAACAUUAUAGAGAUUUUGUCAUAUUGGAAUAAACUUCAUGACAUAAUGCCCUAAACAUGAAAUGUGUAUUAUUGCCUCCAAGAAGCUUAAUAAAGAAGUACAAUCGACAAUGACAACUAAUAGUACAAUCGACAAUCAACAAUGACACCUAAUAGAAAUAUAAUAUCCCUUGAUGUAAUUCAAAUGAAAGCACCAACCGACAUCUAAAGUAGUCCUCCAAAUUAUGCAUCAAUAUCAUCAUCAUUCCCACCGGAAAAUUCUGGUGGUGCAUUAUUGACCCACUAAUCACAUUCCAUGUUAUAUUGCUCUAGAUCACUAAUAUUAUAGUCCAAGUAAGAAUCCAUCCCUAGAACUUCAUGCGCCUGGUCCAAAGGAGCAUUAGCCAAGUUAUCAUAGCCGAAUGAUUCAUGGAUGAAAGUGUCAUUACCACCGGAG
rnacentral:lncRNA from 1 species